GUAUGGGGGGUUUUGGAUUAAAUGCUAACUAAAUAAAUUAAUUGCAGAAAAUAAUUAAUUAAAAGAAAUGAUUGGGGAAACUCUAGCCAAGGGUACACAUCAGAAAUGGUUCAUGCACUGAUCAUUGAUGCAGAAAUAAUUCCAACAUUUAGCAGUAGAUUAGUUAUAGUUGUCAUGCACGCGAUAAACAACCAACCCUUCCUUAAUUUCUCGAUAGCUAAGGUACGACCGUUAGCUAUUUCUCUAACCCAAAAAUAACCCUAGGUACGACCGUAAGAUUUAAUUUCUAGAUUGCAUUAAUAAUUAGAAAGGCCCAAUCCUAACCAACAAACACGCUACGAGGGUUUGUUUAAAUUAGAUCAUAUGCUCCCCUGACAUAAACCCAAUUACGCCAGUUGCUACUGAGGUAGAGAUAACGAACAAUUACGGAUUCAAUUACCCAUAUUUAGCAAAAAUAGCCUAUAUGAAUAAUUAAUUAUUGCGCACUAAUCAAUCAUACACAAGGCCAUAGCAAUUAAAAUCAAGGAACAUAUAAAUACCAAUAAAUGAAGAAAAUAAUUAAAACAGAUUCGAUCUCACAGUAAUUGUCGAACCAAAUCGUCAGUUGUCCCCUUGACUAGAAAAGCUUAACCACGGCUCAUGAGAAAAUCUCCCCGUUGGAGAAUAUUGUCGAACACCUGGCGUGUGUCAGAGGCCAGUCUAAGGAAAGAAAGAAAAGAAACUAAAACUAAACUAAAACUAGAGAUGUCCCUGCUACUCUACGUUAUCCCUAUUUAAGCAACAAGAGGAAGAUGACUAAAGGCUAUCUAGGUGGUCCCCACACAUGUGGACAAAGCCCUCCAAGUACUUCUUGUUCCAAGUCUCCUUCCCGUAGCUUUCUUUUAAGAGCCCAAAUGACUAGAUGCUUUCCACUAGCUUGUGGUCCCCCACCAAUUCAAGGGCCCAAGAAUUGAAUCUCUUAGAAGUCUCCCUAUUCCCAUAAAAGUCCCUCCUUUUUGGUAAUUUUCUGCUUUGUUCCUGAAAUUAAACUCCAAUACCAAAUAUAAGUAAAUAUUAAUAAUUAAAACAAUAUUUGGCAAGAAUAAAAGGGGAAAUUAAUAAUAAAAUUACUAACAAUUAACACCCUAUCAGUUUUCCUUUCUUUUAUUUCUUUUUCUCUUUCUUCUCUCUUUCAUCCUUUCCAAUAGAAAUUCCAUUUCAACGAAAAUUUUUGUUUUGAGUUUGUAAUUGCAAAUUUCUAGGUGAAGGUUUAAAAGGCAUCAAAAAUUAAUUUUGAUUUUUUGUAUGAUGCCAUGUGUCACAAAUUUCAAUUGAUGAUUAUUAAUCAGGUCACAAUUUCAUCUUAAGAUAUUUUCUUGGGAAUAAAAUGAGAAACUAGAAAGGAAAGUGGAAAACCCAAAAUUAAAAGAAUUGAAUGGCUAAAAAAAUUGUAUUUUAAGAAAGUGAUUUGAAUAUUUUUUUAAUCAUUUAAUGAGAAGAUAGAUCUCUACAAUUUCUCUUUUUUAAUUUCAAUCAUUAAGGUAAAAAUUUUUGUGAGAAAGAGGAAGAAUAAAGAAGAAAGAGAAAAAGAAAUAAAAGAAAGGAAAACAAGGUAAAUGAAAAGUCAAAAUAAUGCAAGGGCAAUUUUGUCCUAAAGGGGGUUAAGUGAGCAAAUUAAAAGUUAGGGGGUAAACUGAAAAUAGGGUAUUUUUUAAGGAAUAAAAUGUGAUUAACUCUUUCCUUUUUAAUGCUAGAAUUGUGUUUUUUUUGGUGGAUGACAGAUGUCAAAUGGUGACAUGUUUCAAAAGAACCAUGAUGAGGUGGAUUUUGAGUUCUUGGGGAACAUAAGGGGUAAAGACUGGAGGAUGCAGACAAAUAUUUAUGGAAAUGGUAGCACAAACGCUGGCAGAGAAGAAAGAUAUGGGCUUUGGUUUGAUCCUUCGGAAGAUUUCCAUCAGUACAGUAUCCUCUGGACUGAGAAUCAGAUUAUGUAAGAAUCCCAAAAUCUAAGAUUCCUGCAUUAUUUGUUUCCUUCUUGUCCUCUGAAUUUUGCUAUUUUUGGUUGCAUACUUUGCUCUGUAACAGCUUUUACUUGACUGAUUCUUUGAUGGAGGCGUUCUAUGUGCUCUGAUGUUCUGAUUUUACUGUUUUUGGGGUUUCUGCUGUGAUGUCUCAAUCUAUAUUUAUAGCCUUUCCUUUCUUGGAAAUGCUAUGGGGAUCCUUUCCAUGUUUAUUUCCUGUUCUGAAGAUGUUAUGAUAAGUCUUAAUUUGACCAUAUUUCUUAUUUUCGUUACCAAGAAUAGUAAAUGAGAAGUAAUGAUCCUCCUGUAAAGGAAUUUUAUGCUCUCUGUUAUCAAUACUUAAUUGUAUGCAGUUACUGAGUCAGCAACCUGAUCAAAGUGAGAAUGACAAUUAUGUAACCAUAAGUUUCCCAUCUGUACUUGAAUAUUGUUGAUCUGCAUUUGGGAUCCUAUAUUGUGGAGUUUUUAGUAUUCUUACCGAUAUUAUAUUUUCACUUGAUGACUACACUAUGUCACGAACAGUCUAAUUUCACUAUUAUGGCUGUUUUGCGAACAAAAUUUUGUCUGUUUUUUGUUUGAGGAUUCUAGCAGUUAUUUCUUGUAUUUUUGGAAUACUAUCCUGAUUUUCCAUUGUUGUUACAUAUUUGCACGCCCUGUACCAUGCAAUGCAAUUUGCAGAUUUCAAGGUUUUCUUCCCUUUUCCUAGUAGUUUCAUGUUUUACUUGCUUAUUUAAGAGCUUUUUGGACAUAUUGAGGUCAACAGAAGUGGCAUUAUAUGGCCAAUACAGCUUGUCUUCAAGAAAAAUUCAAAUAAAAUCAGAAACAUCCCCAGAUACAUUACAGAGAAGUUUUUACCGUGCACCAGGCACUUAAAUUUUUUUUUUUUUAACUCUUGCCCCACAUCAAAGAUGAGCCUGCAGCUGCAAGCAAGCAAUGAGACCACGCUUGUUGGAUUUGUUCUGGCUAAUGUACAUUUAUGGUGUCUUUUCAUCAAGACUUUGAUCCUGUUUUGCUUGUUUUGGUAUCUCAUUUUCUUUUGUUGCAGCUUUUAUGUUGAUAAUGUCCCCAUAAGAGAGUUCAAAAGGACAGCAACAAUGGGUGGGGACUUCCCUUCCAAGCCUAUGUCAUUGUAUGCAACAAUAUGGGAUGGUUCCGAUUGGGCUACAAAUGGAGGAAAAUUCAGAAUCAAUUACAAAUAUGCCCCAUACAUUGCAAAAUUCUCCGACCUCGUGCUCCAUGGCUGUGCAGUUGAUCCUACUGAGCAGGCAACAAAGUGUGACAUUGCUCCAAAACAUGAUUCAAUCCCUACUGGUAUCACACCUGAACAAAGAAUUAGAAUGCAGAACUUCAGGAAGAAGCAUAUGCAAUACUCAUACUGCUACGACCGUGCUCGAUAUACGGUCCCUCCAGCUGAAUGUGUCCUAGAUGCUAAGGAAGCCGAGGGCCUCCGUGCAUUCGACCCCGUUACUUUCCAAGGAGUUCACCGUCACCGGGGUAAGCGGCACCACCGGAGCAGAUCAUCAUCAUCAAGUCAGGGAGAGGCAUCCUCUACAUAAGAAUGAAUGUGUUGUGGAUGUUGUUAUAUCCUACAUUUGUACUGUCACACCUUUUCUGAGUCUUGAUUAAUGUUCUUUCCCUGUGCAUACCACCCCAAGAAACCAAAAAAAAAAAAAAGGAUGAGAAGAUAAAAUGAGAAGUCCACAGAUUGUUUUACAGAGGGUGAUAAGAUUUUUAUACUAGCCAUUGAUCAUCAAGGGGCAUGUAUAUAUUUCAUACCUUGAGGUUCCCAGCCAUGUCCUUGUUGAUGUAUUAUUGUCUGCAGCUAUGUAUUAUAAUUCCCAUUGUCAUAUGUUCCAAUAAACAUAUUUAAUAGAUGGAGUUAUUAUUAUAUAGAAACUUGUGGUGGGGUUAAUGCCUUGAUGGAGGUAUAGGAUUCCAAUUUUUAAAGGGGUAUUGUUUAUGGGGAAAAAAAUGAUAUGUAUCCAUGAAAGUACAGUAGAAUGUUUGUAUUAUAAGCAUGAUUCUUUGUGUAUGAUAAUCCAAAAUAUAAAAGCCCAUUUGGUCUGUUUAGCCAUUGAAUUCUAGGCUCUGUCAUAUGGUCUGAGGACAAUUUUUCUGAUGUGGUAAAUAUUGGAAUCCGAUGAAUCAGGGAUUGUGACAGCUGAAGCUGCGGAGACAAAUGGUAAGUGCCUUGGGAAAAGUUUCACAAAGGGACGGUUAACUGAACUUUUGGAAAUUGCACUUCCGUCCUUCAACUUCAAAAUGCUGCAACUUGAUCCUUACUCGGGUGCAUGCGGUCCAUCUAUUUCCUCUUUGGUCCUUACAGCAUGAAAAAUUUUGCACUCUCAAGUGCAUGCGGUCCAUCUAUUACCUCUUGAUUUUAGAUAUUUCCUAAUAUAAUUUUACAAUUUAGGUCUCUCUAACAAGUGUUUAUUGAACACUCUUAAAAUACAUUUCAGAUGUUAGAUUUUUAGAAAAUUAAAAUUAAUUAGAAAAAGUGUAUAAAUGCAAGGAAAUUAAUUAGAAAAGGUAUAUAAAUAAAAGCGAAGAUAGUAAUUGUUAACGUGUGUAUAAAUAAUAAGAUUGAAUGAAAUAUAAGUGUGUUAAGUAUUGCUUAUUAGACAUCUAUUAAAAAAACCCUUACUUUUUAAAUAGUUAAACUUGAACCCCCCCCCCCUCCCCCCUCUCUUUUUCCCCCAACCAAUGCACAUUUUGCACCCAUAGCCAUUAGACAAACUAUUGAAGACAUUCUAAAAAUAUUUGGUACCAUGAAUGUAAUAAUGGAAAAACUCAAGAUCUAGUAGCAUAAACUAAUUAAUAUGCAAUGUAUAAAUUAAAAGGGCAGGUUAAAUAUUAAAAAAUAUUAAAAAAGAACACUUAUGUGAGUCUCGGUUUUACUCUAUUUUCUGGUAUUGCAUUGCAAAUUUGUAAAAUCAUAACUAGCUCUAUCACAAAAGUCAGUCAUGCAUUGCCAGAACUUGAAAAACAAUUGCCAUUUUCUAUAUACACAACAUAAAAAAAAAAAAAAACAGAAAAAACAGUCCUAACUCCUAACAAUAUUACACAAGGCGUUUUAGCCUUGUAGAAAAGUAUGCAGCAGCAAUUCUAUAUCCACACAGUGUUAAAAGAGUAGGAGAGCCCAGUGAGGUUUUUUAAAUUCUAUUCCAAAAAGAAAACAAACAAAUAACUUGCAAUAUCUAGUCUUGAGAAUUUAUGAAUUCCCUGAACAUGAUGCUUUGACAAGAUUAAUUAUAACUGUUCAUUCCUCAGAUUCAGCUUCCUUUCUCUCAAUCAUCUUGAUGAAAUUACGAACUAUUGUUUUGCCUUCAUCUGUUAUGAUGCUCUCUGGGUGGAACUGCACUCCCUGCAUCAUGAAGUAAGCAAAACAUCAGGUUGAACAGUAAAACAAGAUAAAAAUCUUGUAAGAGAUGCAAAUCUGAUGAAAAAUUAAAAGAGAAGCUUAUCCUCUAGAUUCAGUGUCUUGACAGACAACAUGAACUUCUGUACUUUCAAGCAUAACAAACCUAUUAAAAGAACCUCCACAGGAAUGAACUCCUACACAUCUCUGACUACUAUAACCAAGAAAGUUAACUAACUCAGAAAAUACGAAAAAGUUGACCAUCCUGAGGCCUAGUCUCGCCUAGUCGGUUACCUUUAUUUAAUGGAUCAUACUUUUAACUGCAAUUUUUAGCAUCAUACCUUUAACAACCCUGAUGAGAUGCGUUAUGCACGGGAUACAUCUAACAGGAACCUAACAUUAUGGAAGGUAGUCAAUUCUGCAGAAUGUUCAUCUUCUAAAGUUGAAAUGCUUUUUUUACCACAUUAUACGCUAAUGUAAUUAUAUAACCAGAAGUUCACUUUUGCCUUUUCAGACAAAAGCAAAACGUGAAGUUGAUCAUGUUAAAUCCCAAUAAAGCAUAAUUUUCACUUUAGCCCUUAACAUUUACUUUCUUUCACUUAUCACCUUUGAUUGUUAGUCAAUAACAACAAUGCCAAUAUUAUAAAAUCAAUAUAAAUAUUAUAAAAUCAAAGCAAUAUUAUAAAAUUAUCCAACCGAUUUUAUCUUCCUUUACGACUCACAUUCCUUUGACUUUUUUUUUUCCCUCAAAAGACAAGUGCUUUCCAAAAAAGACGAAAAUUUUUAAGUAGUUUAACUUGCUCAAAUGGCCUUCAGAAACACUAGCACAUCCUUGAAACAGCACCAUUCAUGGGUUGUUUUGAUGAAAGUACCUUGAAAAUCUUGUUCAUCAUUGACAGAAUAGAAUUCAGGGUUGACAGAAAACUGAAUCAUCUGAUUACUGAAAAUCUCCUAAAAGUUCCAAGAUGACAAACAUGACACCAUCUUUUUGAGGAUUAAAUGAAAACAACUGCAACUCUUUCCUUAUUCAUUGCCUCAGGACACAUAAUGUAGGAUUUGACUUUAAAAUAUUGUUCACGGCCUGAGUAAGCAGUAUCCUUCCCCAUUUUCUUUUUCCCACCUGAUCUACCUAGCUAUUUAUCUCAAUUUACCCAACACAGAAUACAUGCACACAUACAAAACCAGACGAAUACGAUAACCAAAAACAAAAAAAAAACUCUAAAUCUUACAAGUACCCAAACCCACGUGUGUGAAAGAUAAAAAUAAAUGCAUGCAUGCAUCAUACAUACAUACAUGUGUGUGUGUAUCAGAAUCUGCCAUAUGGGGAGAAUCAGAUGUCCUGAAGGCAUUUACCACAAAGCCACAGUGCAGAAAGAGGAGAAGAAGGAUGAUGGCAGUGCAGGAAAGAAAGCCGUUACAAAAGAUCUGUAGCAAUGUUUUCUCGGGGGGGGGGGGGAAGAGACUUGCAACAGAGAAAGGGACAGGAGGAGGUUUGCAUUUGAAGAAUUAAAAAUAUAAAAAAGAAUAUUGAAGAGAAGAAAACUACGGAAUUGCUAAAGGUCAAGGAUUUUUAUGAAAUCAGACAUUUGCAAUCAGGUCAGGUCAAAUAUGUCUUUUGGGGUCUUUUGAAAGCACAUCACUUAGCAAAAUGAAAAGAUCAAAUUCAGCCAGUGAGCUCUAAAAUAAUUUGCCAGGUAGCCAGGAGCCAGCUUCUUGAGCAAAGUUGCUAAAAAGAUCAAUUGCAAUGAAGGCUUUCCUCUCUAACUUUUACAAGUGGUGGCUGCAUCAAUAUGUUCGAUAAAUUCGAAACGUUAGAGCCAGUUCUGAUUCUUACUUCCCAUUCCUCAGAGAGGUAGGGUAUCCAAGUUUUGGAAAUUCACUUACCUUUUAUUAAUAGGAUCUUCUACUAUUCUCCUCUAAAAUCAAUAUAUAAUUAAACUAUCCAGCAUCAGAUUUAAAAUCAGUUUCCAACAAAAAGAAAUAAUGGAAUAACAGAACUUGUAUCGCUCUAAUACCCCGUGGCCACGGCAAACUGGUAAACGAACUUCUAUAGAUAUUCCACUAAGUUACUUAGCUGAGAAGUACGUUGGAGAUCUUAUAUUUAUAGUCCCAUCAACUUGAAGUUUCCAACUCCAACGUCUUACUAAUUUUAAUUAUUUAAUAUAGUCCAUUACGGUUCCUAAUUUUUAAAAUUCAAACAUGCACAGAUUAAACCUGCUGAAUUUGAUGGACCAUUUGUGGGAGUUGGGUCAAAAGAAUGCCUCUCCGCUGCAUGCACAAUACAUCUUUAUCCCAAUGUGUGAAUGUUUCAUGCAUGAGAUGUGUUCUUGGAACAUGUUUAGGAAGGCCGGGAAGUAAACUCCUCACCUGGAGAUGCUUAUAUAUUUUGUGACGAGCAGCCAUAAUGAGUCCAUCUUCCGUCCAAGCAGUUAUCUCAAGUUUGUCACUAGGAAAACUUUCCUUGUCAAUCACAAGGCUGUGGUAUCUACCAGCAGUAAAAGGGCUGCAACAUAAACACAAAUCCAGGUAUCAGCAUAUACAGGAUCCAGGAUGGUGCCAAAACAAAACAUAGUCAUAUGCAAAGAUCACACAUUAAGUAAUUACAGUCUUCAUCUUUGAGAUAAAUUAAGCCGAGAGCAAAUCCCUUUUAGACGACGACCUGAGAAACUAUUAUCAUCUCACACAGCAAGCUUGCUAAAGUAGCCAACUUCAUGCAAUUUACAUUACUCCCAUUUGACUCUCUAAUGCCAUGCAUGCUAAGAUUUAAAGAAGAUUCUGGAUGUUUGACUCUUAAACAAGACAAUUUGGACCAAGAAUGAUUGUAGGUUCCCUUCAAGAUUUUGCUUCUAUCCAACAAAUUGUCGUUUUGUGUCUGUGAGCACAAGAAUGCUAAAUGAGCAGCUUGAAGUCAAUGACAACAUGAAUACCAAGUUGCAAGGUCAAACUGCAAAAAGAUAACCAUGCAGCUGCUAAAUAACACACCCAUCAACGAGUCAUCAGUUUCUAUUGUUCCAGUUUAGUCCAUAGUAUGAAUUAGGCCAACAUUAAUAAUUGACUAUCCUCUGCAUAUAAAGCUUGCAACAUGUUUCACUAUAUUAUUUCUCAGACUGGUAAGUGUAGCUGGUGCAAAGCAUCUAUAUGGGACUUCACUAGUCUAUAUUUUGGUAUCAGAAAAAGCUUUCUGCAAGGAGCAUUCCUAGUUGUUCAUUAAAAGGUGGGCCUAGAGUCAUAACGUGAAUCUUAAGGGCAAAGAUCAAGAAUUGAAUCAAGCUCUAAUGCAUCACAUCAAUAGUAAUGGAAAAACUCUGAUACUUCCAGAUAUUCAGGAUUAAAUGCUUUAACAAUUGCAUAUUAACAUGACAGGGACCAUUAUUGACAAUAAACAAGCUCCAAACAUGCAGAAAUUGGUUCAAGAGCACUUAUGUGCAUGUCAUAAACAAAACAACUCACUUGGAUAAGCCGGCUAACAAACCCUCUUCUUCACCCUCAUUAUGGUACACAAGAGAACUUUUUCCAUGCAUCACUCCAAAAGGUGAGCGCACGAUUUUCCCUGCUCAUAAAACAAAUUUUACCAGAGAAUCCAAAGCAGCAGCGUAAGCUGAAACAUGAAUAAGAAUAGCAAAAUCAUUGUAGGCUUAAAUAACAAAUAAGAAUUUACAUGGCUACAUUUUUUGUGCAAGAUACAUAACAUCGUUGAGUCAGAUCCAAGUCCAUUAUAGUGCCCUCCAUCAAAUUCUUUCUCGUAGUACUGGUCCUUAAUCCUUACUUUAAUGUUAAUGGGCCAUGGAAAAGCUUUCAACAUGAGAAGAAACUCACGAAUUCCAUGAUGCUUGGCCUAGUCAGUGAUUAUAUUACUUGUAAGAAUAGCCUAGCAUGUUGAAUCUCAGAAAACUUACGGUUGUGUGCAUUCUGACAAGUUCAAUCUCACAUGGAUGACCCAAGGUGCUGAUUUAUUUGGUAAAUAGAGUCUAAUCAACUUGAAUGAGUCCUGGCAAAGGUUUACUAUCUGAUUGGCCAGAUCAAGAAUGUACCAAAUUCGUUAGGGGUUGCAAGCAUCAAAUUCACAAUGCAUGUACCACUAUUAUGACUUUGACUAUGCCAUCUUGACAGGUAUCAUGUAAGGAUUUUGGAGAAUUCUAUCAAUGGAAUUCUAUCAUAUGACUGCAAUAAUUGUUUGGAGAAUUCAAACAAUGGAUCCAAAUAUUUCAUCUUGUUCAGUUGGACAUGGAUGGAACAAAGAAAAAAAAGUUACUGCUCCAUCUCAAUUUGUUUAGUACGAGAUCAAAACCCUGCAUUUUCUUAGCAGAAAUUCUUCUGAACCAAUGAUAAACCAUUCAAACACAUUCUCUAGCAGUUUAUUAUAGGAACUGAAAGAUACCUCCAAAAGCCUCCCCAAUACACUGCAGCCCCAUACACACGCCAAAUAAUGGUACAUUUGGCCCCAGUUCCAAUACUGUUUGCAAUGAUAUUCCUGAAUCUUGAGGUUCUCCUGUUAUUGCAAAAAAAUUAGCAAUCAUUAUGAUAGAUAAGUUUCACUAGAGGAAAAAAAAAGAUUCCAACAAAAAUUUAAAAAAAUUGAAUAAAAGUUAGUCUCACCAGGUCCUGGAGAUAUCAAAAUCCCCCUUGGAUUUUUCCUAUAAAAAUCAUGAACAAAAUAAAAGAAUUACUUGGCCUUUUCUAAACAAUUGAUGUGAUGUUUGCAAAAUUUUUGCAAACAAUGACCUCAUCAAGAAUACCCUUUCUGCAUGAAAUCACGCAACUACAGAGGGCCCGGUUAAAUGUAAACAUGCAUGAAAUGAGGGACUAUUUGGUCAUUACACAAAACUUACUGCAGUCCAAGGAUCAUUACAUUGCAAAACAAAAUAAAAAACAAGGAAAUCAAUAACGUCAAGUCAGACCUCAUACACCUGAAAAGGGCAAACACCAAUAGCAAAAGUACAACCACUCAGUUGUACCUUCUGUUUUUUCACUUAAACCUGGCAUACAAGAAUUUCUCCCAAAGAAACAAGAUAAAGCUUACUUCUUUAAUUCCUCCACCGUCAGCUCAUCAUUCCGGUAAACCUCCAUUUUACACCCGAGCUCUCCCAAAUACUUCAAAACAGAAACCCAGGAAAAAAAAUUAGCAAAUUGAGAAAAUAAAUCACAAAAAGAAAACCCAAAAAUGCUAAAAAAAUGGCCAGACCUGGCAAAGAUUGUAAGUGAAGCUAUCAUAAUUAUCAAUUACAAUAAUGGGAUUUCCAGUAGGCUUUUUCGGAGCAUCAUUGUUGAUGACAUGGGCCACGCUGGAUUUUUGCGAACACCACACCGUCCUAAUCGAUAGGGAAGUUUUGUUAUCAACUGGGGUUUUGAAUUGGAUGAAAGAUUGGCUUCCUUUAAAUGGGCUGGUUUGGAAGCUGAGAAAAGAGGAUGGAGAUAGAAACACAGAUUGUUUAAUGGAGGAGGGAUUUGCUGCAACGGAAGCCAUUGACUGAAAUGGCCGUUUUUUUCUAAGCUUUUGAGAGAAGGGUGCGGCAGCGGCGGCAGCGGCGGAGGAGUUAGGAGUGACAGAGUCAGCUGAAAUAUGAAAGACAAAUUUCCAGUUUUUAAUUAGCAGUCUACUUCCGUCCUACCUCAGUUAAGCCAAAAGAGAAAAAGAAAAACAAGAAUGCCAAAAAAAAAAAAAGAAAAGAAAGUGAUGAGUGAAUGCUAAAUAUCAAUCUAGAACACUGAUUUCAACUUUCAAGCAACAUAAGAGGUAGCUUUUAACUUCAACGUCUAAAAUCUAAUUAGUGUCUAUUCUUAUGCCAAAAAAAUUUUAAAAAAAAAGUAGUUAUCUAGUUUCUGCAAUUCCAACUAAAAGUAUAGACUAAAAGUAGCCAUCCUGAUUUCUGCAUAUCUCAGGAAGCAACAAUGGAGUUACCAAAAGAGGUGCAUCCCAAAAUUUUCAGUAACUUUGACAUUUCCUCAAACACAUAGAAAGCAACAAAGGAAAUCCAUUAAUUCAAAUAAAAGAAUUAAAGAAAAAGUCCCCAAUAAAGCUCUUGCACGUGUUUUGCCUGAAAUUUAACAAAUAGAUCACAUGAAAUUAAAUUAGUAACUGCUUCCACAUUGCUGGUCAUUUACGCUUUUCCCUUUCUUCUUAUACUUCAAUGAAUCUGUACAUCAAAAUUAGAUAGCAUUUACCCCAAAAAUGCAAUUCUGACUUUUAAAGGAUGCAUUUAUGUAGCACAAGCAAAUUUAUCUUUAAAAAGUGAACAUUUUAGUUUGCACCAAAUUAGCCAGUUGCAGAACAUUAACUUACUUGAUUAAACAAAGAUCACUCCAACCCUUGUUUUCAACCAACCUUCCCAACUUCUGCAACUCUGCCGGGGAUCAGAUGGAGAACCGGAGAAGACAGCAGGAAUUGAUUCAGAAUAUAUAGGGAGUCAGGUUUGGACUCUUUGGACAAAGCAUAGGAGAGGAGACUGGAAAUUGGUGUAUAGAGCUUGUACUCUCCAGUAGGAACUUACUUGGGGAUUUCAGAUGUGUCGUCGGCAAUGGCGACAAAGAUCGGCUGCGGCAAGAAGGUGGAAACAAAGCGACAGAUUUUAGAAAUUUAGGGCUGGAGUGGAGUGAAGUCCAGGGUGUCAAAUUAGGAAUUUGGCUUGGGAUAACUAGGGAUGGCAAUGGGGCGGGGGAAGGAUCACCCCCCGUCCCGCCCCCACCCCGUUUUUCUCGCGAGGAAAGAAAUCAAUUUAUCAUAAAUGUUCAUUUACGAUAAUACAAUUGUAAAUAACAUUAAAUAAAAUUAAAACAAAGCCAUGGUUGUUGGAACUGCUUAUAAACGAUAUCAUAGGACAUGGAAAGAAUUCUUGUUCCAUUAGGCUCUCGUAUUUACAUUUUCAUUGAGGCUUUUCACAAACAUCUUAUAUGCACGCAAACAACUAUCCUUUGUUUGAUUAAUUUCGAAUUAAAGCUAAACCAAAAAUUGUAACAGACUAACAGGAUAAAAGGGGGACAAAUCAGCAGUGAAAUUUAAAUACACAGAAAGGUUAAAAAAGUGAAAGCAAAAGUGGCCUGAAUAAGAAUAAUCCACGAGUAAAUGAGGGGAAAGAACGAAGAAAAAAUAGCAAAAUUUGGCAGUGAAAUACCUUGAGCCUUUUCUCGUUUGAGGAAGCAGAGAAUUAACGGAAAAUCUGAGAAGUCGACGGAAAAUCAGUGCUUUCCACAGAAAUGCUCUUCUAACUUGCUACUAGACCAGAAAUUCAGUUCACUUGCGAUACCCAACAAAAACAGAGACAGAAACCUAGAACCAGAAACAGAGCCAGACGUCACAGACCCGUUCCCUCCUAAUUAUAAAAAAUUUAAGCGCACAAGGAAAACAAAGACGAAGAUAUCAGCAAGAAAAAGAUGAAGAUUUACCUCCGAUCACUUGCCGACGAAGAUAUCAGCUCGAUCUGGGAUUCUGGGCUGGGUAAAAUUUUAGGAGGAUUUAGACAGAGAGGAUGGGUUUAGUUGAGUAGUUAUUAGAACUGAGGGGAAUGGGCGGCAAUGGCUGCGAAGGAGGGACUGAGGGGAUAAUAAUUAAUGAGAGGUUUUGUUAUUUUGUAUAUAGUCGAAGUCCAUGACCGUGCCAAGGUAAAUCACCAAAACAAUAUCACAAACAAAACAUAUGCAUAAUUAAACUCAGAAAGACAACGAUCACAUAAAUUAAAUGAAAAAAACGCAUAACAUAUAACACGAUUUUUGAAUUUCAGUGUGUGGCUGUGUGAGAGAGAGAGCAACGAGGCUUACAGUUGCGCUAAAAAGAGACGUGCACGAUUGCUGCUGCUGGUGCCGAGCCACGCCAACGCAGUGAUUUUCAGCUCGGCGAUCUGGAAAUGAGGAGAGAGAAUAGACUGCUCCGGGGUUUCUAUUACGAAGAGUGUGUUUGGAUUACGCAUUAUUUUCACCUUAUUUGCACACACUGACUUACUUAUAUUAUCAAUACAUUCUUCAAUUACUUUUUUAUAUUAUAUACAUCACAUUAAAAAAGUGUCACAAUAUUUUUUUAUAAAAUUAUCUCAAAUAAUUUACUAUCCAAACACCCGAGUAAACGAAAAAAAAACCUCAUGGACUAUAUACCUUGUUGCAAUUUACCCCCAAAACUAUAUUUAUAGGCACUUUGCCCCCUUUCAUGAUAUUGUUGGACAAAUUUACCCUUUUUAUCUUAAACAUUGUUAUUUUUCUUUUUUCCCUAUCAUUUUCUUUUUAAAUUCUUUUUUUUUUCUUUAAGCAUUGUUUAAAUAAGUAUACUAAAUUAGUUGAAACUUGUUUAUUUCUUAAUUUCAUAUGUCAAUAUUUAUAAAAAAAUUCUACGGAGUACAAGAUUUUUUUUUUCAAAAUGUUGAAGUCAAUGUCAUUCAAGAAAUUGAACUAUUCAAAUAUAUAAUAACAAAAUAGAUAUGUAGUAUCAAUAACAAAUAAAAAAUGAAUUAUUGUUGUUGUUUAAUCUUAUCUUUUUGAAAUAACAAUUGUUAUCUUUUCUUUUUUAUAUGAUAAAUAAUAUGUUACUUUUGUUAUCAAUAGUUGAGUAAUUGUGAACUCUUAAUUGGUUUAUAAGUACUUAAAUUGUUGAAUUACUAAAUUAAUACACUUUACAAUAUAAGCUACAUAUAUUUUGUAAUAACAAAGAGUUUAUGAUAAAUUAUUAAGAAUGAAUUUAAUAAAUAAACAAAUUAAAAAGUAGUUUUAAAAAUAUUAAAAAUUUUGAUGUAAGUCUUUUCGCAGCGAAGGGAAACAUUGGCUAGUUCCACGAGAGAAAGAGAAAAAGAAAAAAUAAAAGGAAAAAGAAAAGGGAAAAAUGAAAAAGCUAAUAGAGAAAAAAUAAAAAAAUUUAAGAUAAUAGGGGUAAUAUUGUCCAACCAUAUCAUUCAAAGGGGCAAAAUGCCAAUUAUUAUAGUUUAGGGGUAAACUGCAAUUGGAUAUAUAAUUUAUGAGAUUUUUUACAUUUAACCCUUUAAUAUAUGAGAGUUAAAAGACAAAAGCCUAAAGGAACUUUGAUGGGUUCGUUAGGUGUUGUAACUGGGCUGGUGAAGCUCACACAAUACCAAUGGCCCACUAGUAAGAGCAUGACAAGAUCAAUCGGCUUGAGUUAUCCCUGAAAGAGCACGUGAAUUUUUUCAGUAAUUUUAGGAGGUCGAGCACUUGAGUUUUUUCUAUCUCUUUAUUUCUUUCCUUUUUUUUGUCCCCUCCACCCUGAAAGAAGUCAUAUUUCUCAACACCAUCCCCUCAUGGGUACUCAAUACUCAUAUGCAUAAUUAACAUAGUACUCUAAGAAACUAGGAUUGAGACUGUAGAUAAAAUAAUUAUAGAUAUAAAUGACAUAAUAUAAAUAUUUCAAAAAUUGAACGUUUCAAUAGUUGAAAUAACUAUGGUUAUCAACUUAAAUCUUAACUACGUAACUAGUCGUAUUGGACAUAAUAUAUUAUAAAUCACAAACUUGACGAGUAAGGUAGUGUCAAAUUUUGAGGCUUUUUUUUAACUAUUAACGUUAUCUAAUGAUAAGGAUAACCAAAUUAUAGUAUAAAUCAAAAUUUAUUCUUAAAAGUAAGUGCUUUUUUUUAUGCACUAAUUAAUCUUUGUAGAGUUUGAAAUCAUUAAUCUUAAUAGAUAUUAAUUUACUAUGAAAAGAAAAGAUAUACACAAUAUAUUAGGAAUUAAGUCUAUCCAAAUGGAGUUACUUAUUAUUGGCGAGACAUGUAAUAUUCAAUCGAAGAGUUUAUAGUUGGCGCUUGGUUAAUGGAAAUUUAAAAAUUUGUACUCUAAAUUGAAAUUUUGGAUUUUAAACACUGGCGCCCGCAUAUUAAAAUUUGGAUUUUAGGGUGUUGGCGCCUUUUGUUUGAUUUGUGAACAUUCAUUAGUGCAUGUAUAUAUAAACAGUUCCAGUUUAACGAAAUGCAACAAGAUUAAGUACCUUGACACACACAACAAUCUAUGAUACAUAAGUAUUAAGUACCAAUGCUCCUUGUUCCAGUUCAUGGAUAAACAAAUUUGACACAAGUUAACUAAAACGAGUCCAAUCAGCAAUCUCUUGGUAUAUAUAUUUAUAGGUAUUUUGCCCUUACUAUUAUCUUAGUACAGCAUUUGCAGUUUCACUAAUUCAUGUAACAACUCAACCCAAUUUAUAUUGGUAUUUGCUGUUAGCUCCUUCAGAUGAUAAUAACCUUUGCUGGUUACCACUCUCAACUGGGCUCAUCCCACCUUCCAACGUAGAAGCAACCACGUAAUCAUCUACCAAUUCUUUUAUAUUACCAUGAGAAUGGUUCCUGACACAUUACUUUUGAUGAAAACAUGAAGAUCCGAAUCCCCAUUCAAACACAUGAAGAGUUAGAAGCAAAUUAAUUUAGUUAAGUUAUUCCCUUAGAAGUUGUGUCGUUUGAUUAGUAGCAUUAGUUAGGGUUUUAAUAGUCAAUUUAAUUGUUGAAAUAUUCAGCCAAAAUUAGUCUUCAAGAGGCCAAAACUUAGUUGGUGUUUUAGCCAAAUAAGUGAUUUCAAAUCACAUUAGGUUCUCAAAUAAGUGAUUCCAAAUCGCAUUAGAUUUUCAAGUAAGUGAUUCCAAAUCACAUUAAGUUUUCAAGUUAUGUAAGGCUAUAAAUAACCUAACCACUUAAACGUUUAGAGGAAGUCAGAGUUUACAAUAAAAUUGUGAGUUUUAUUCAUUUCUCUCGUCCAAGAGAGCUUUGCUUGAAUACUUGAGAGUUUUCUUAAGUUAUUCAAUUUGAACUUAUCAAUCAAGUAUACACCUUAGUUGUGGUGUUCUUCUACCUUUAACAUUGGUUCACUAAACCAUUUGAUUGUGGGGUUGAGAUUCAAUUCAAGGUUCGCAAUCUAGGGUUUAGAAGGGUCAGUGUUUUUUUUCCAAACUCCAAUUUGAUUUCUUCGUCUAGAUCUGAGACUACAUGGGAUACGAGUUCAAACCUUUAGGUUGGUUCGUAUCAGCUUAGUAAUCAGAGCUAGUUGAUGAAUUCAAGUAUAUCUUGUUCGUGUCAAGUAAGUUUUCCUUGUGUCAGAUCUAGUCGUGUUAUCCUAGUAAAGUCGUUUAGGUUUUUUUCCUUGUUGUUCUUGUUGUUUCCAUCAUUAUUUGUUGUCUGCAUCCCCUAGUUGCUGUUCGUGUGUUUCCUUGCUGCUCAAAUAUCAAUUGUUGGUUGCAUCAUGUCUUGUGAUCUUGUUCUUGAGUCUUGAGUCUUGAAAUCGCUUAGAGGGAAAAAAAUCAUACUGUUCAUUAGUACUGUUCACAAAUAUUGUUCAUCACUACUGCUCAUGGCACUGUUCACCGAAAAAAAAUUUCUGAUCGUUGUUUUCUUGGAAAUCUGAAGCUUAACCUAGUGUUUCUUGUCAAUUGUGUUGCGUCUCGUGUUUCUUGAAGUUAAUCCAUGGCUAACCAUUCUUGUUCUUGGAGAUGUUCAAGUUCUUGAAAUUUCUUGAUAAGAUAAGUUGAAUUUCUUGAAUUUUUGGAAACUUUCUUGAAGUUUUUGGAUGGACAAUUAGGGUUUCUUGGAUUCUUGAACAAAAGUUUCCAAAUCUUGAAAAUUAUUGCAAAACCCUAGUUCCUAUUUCUUGAACAAAGUAGCGGUUGAUUCUUGUUUCUUGUUGUGGCUUGAAUUCUUCUCCUUCAGUGUUUGAUCUAAAAUUGAAAAGAAAAGAAAGAAAGAGUUUUUGUGAAAAAAAAAAGAAACAAGAAGUCGGAUCACUUUUGGAUUUAACCAAGAAAGAAAUCUGAUUUGGGAAACCAAGUUGACUUGGGAUUGUAAACAAAUCCUAGUCAUCACAUAACUAAUCCAAUUUAGAUUUUGCAAGUUGCUUAUGCACAAAAAUCACUCCAAAAAUCAGCAGCUUAUCUUCCAAAAUAAAUCCAAGAACCAAUUGAGUUCAACUUCCAAAAUUCCAGCCAAGGGUACAAUCGAAGAGAGCAAUUCUAGGCUUCCAAAUUUCUGCUAUUUUAUUUCUUACUUAAUCGAGUUUUGUAAUCUAUCCAGCCAUUAAACUCGUGUCUUUUGAGUCUUUUUCAACCUAUAAAUCGUGUCUAAGAGGUCCCAAAAGGAGUCACAUCAGUCUUGGAUUCCAACUAGUCUUAGUUUCCUAAUUUGAGUCGCUAGUCAAAGUCCAAAGUUUUUAAAAAUUGAGUCACCUUGUGUGGACAAAAUCUGGUUUUUUUUCAGCAUACUUAGUGUCUUAUUUUGAAUUAUUAUUCAGUCCAUUUCACUCCAAAAAUUCCAGCUUUAAAUCGCUACCACCUUGUGAGAAAACUUGGUGAAAGUUUGAUUGAAUCUCAUUCAGAAAAUUCAGAUUUCUUCAAGAGAGGCAAUCAAGUAACUUAAGAGAUGAUUGGUGAGAUCAAUAGAGUGAACUAAACACUUGAGUGAUACACGAGCGUGAGUGCAAACAAGUGAGGGUGUGUUGUGAGGAAAUUCUUUUCUUUGCUAGCCAUUUUUUGCAGGUCACGUAAUCAUACCUAGUGGAGUUGCAUCUCGCUCAUAUAAUCAAGAAUGCUUGGAGAACGAGCCACUUAAGAGGAGGGAUUCCAAAAGAACUACUUCCAAAUACUCUAACUCCAUGCAGUCUAGUUCACAACAUGAGUUUCGUUCACUUCGGGAGGAGAUGCAAUGUUACAUGCUUUGUGUGUAUAUGAACGAUAUAAGCGUACUUGUGAUGAGUAUAAGAAGGAGCAAAGAAGUUUGCGUCGAGCAUCUAAGUCGAGGUCAUCCUCAAGCAAACGAGAUUCAUCUAAGGAAUGUCGUGACAAUCGAGCCAUGAAGCCUUAGAGUUCUCGAAUUGAGUCAAAGCCUCAUGAACCAAAGGAUGAUUUUCGAAGUUGGACUAAAAACUGGGUUGAUUCUAUGAAGGAGGAAAUUAGCCAAGUGCUGAAGUCAUACUUUGAGCAACUUAAUCAUGUGUCAACCAAUGGUAAUAAAAGGAGAUGUUCCUUCUAGUCCGCCAUUGAUUGAAGAAGGAUCUAUGAAUGCUAGCAAUGAACUUAAGCUUGAAAACCUUGAAGUUCCAUCCACACAAGUUGGUUGUCAUGAGCUUGUUGAGAAGGAAGAAAAGGGAGAAAGUGCACUGAUUUUGAGCAAAACUGUGAGGGCUUGUUGUUUUCCUAACGAACUUACCUUUACUUUGUUUAGUGUUUCUUCUUUUCUACAGAUCAAGCAAAGUCAAAUAGAGUUGAUCUUGGCGUGUUCCAUUCCAAAGUCAAUUGUACACUUUGCAAGUUUCCAUGGAGUUUGUUUUCCAGGAAUUAAAUCCCUUUGGUAUCAAUUCAUGAAACAAUGUCAACUCAAAUAUGUCCAUACCAAUGGAGAGUUAAUUCGAGCUCAUCUUGAAGGGAACAUUCCAAAAUUUGGAGCUGGUUGUGUACCAAGGGUUCAUUGGAAAAAAAAAUCAUGGGAUCGUUUGCAAUUUAUACUGUUACAUGUAAUGUCUUCAAAAACUUUAAGAACUUGUAGAUUUUUUUUACACUAUGUAUAAUUGUGCUUUAAUAUUGAAUUUUGUUUUUGUUAAAAACUAACUUGAAGUUUUGGAUUUUAUUUUCUGGGGUGAACCAGUUAGGGAGCCCCUUAACUAUUCCAGUGAUCAAACUAUUAGUCCUUUAUCUAUUUCCAAUAUUGAAUUGGUCCCUCAACAAUAAAAAGUUGUCAAAAUUUGAGAUUUUAAUUUAUUUCUACCUUUAUAUCCAUCAUAUUUCUACUUGGAUGAUGCCAAAAUCUUUAUUUUUGAAAAAAAAACUUCAACAAUAAUGCCGAGGACUUAAAUACGGGGAAUUUAAAGUCUUGUAACAUGGCCUCAGUUAAGUGUGUGAUAAAUGCUUUUAUGUUAAUUAGACGGGAUAAUUUCAGAAACCUCCCUUGAGGUUUCUUAUAAUUGCACUUGGCUCCUCUAAAGUUUCAAAAAUUACACCUACCUCUCUUGUCCAUUUAAAAUGACAAUGCUAUCCUUAAUAUUUUUAGUAAGACUCUUUUGUUGCCAUGUUUAUGCAAAUGAUGGAUUUUAUUAUUUUGUUUACCUUUUUCCUUCCUAUUCAUUUAUCUUAUAUUUCAUUCGAAGUAUAUAAGAACUAUCAAUGUUGUCCCUAAUAUCUAUCCAAAUUAAACUUUAAACUAGUAAUAUUUUUUUGAUAACUUUUAAUAUCCUCCAAUUUUUUUUUGUAGCUCUUUUCUUUGGUAUCAAAAUCAAGGAUAAGUCAACAAUGAUUAAAACAAAAUGGCCCAAAAUCACUACCCAAUUAUGAUAGUUCCACCACUAAACUAGUCUAUAAAUUUUUAUUAAAAAAAUAGUCCAUAAACUUUAAAAGAAACAAAAUAGAGAAACAAAAUAGCAUUUUCUUCUCUAUCAUAAAAAGAAUUUAUAUUCCUAGUAAAGCAUUAUGAAAAAUACCAUAUUACAGCAAAAGAUUUAUUGUUAUAAUUAAUUAUCAAAUAACAAAUAUUGACAUGAAAAACUAGAUACUCUUUUCGUUUAGAAGAACAAAUUGAACUUUGUAAGAUUAGGGCAUUUUAAGGUAUUCAUUAAAUUUUUUUGCUCAGAGUCUACAUGCAUUUCAAUCAUUCACUUGGAAGAUAUUUUCUGCCUACCAAGGAAGAUUUAUUCCUCAUGUUGGACUUCGUGGUAAGCGGAUUCUUCUUUCCAGACAGUGAUACAUAGUUAUGGAGACUUUUAAACACCUUUUCUUGUCAUUUGAGUCUAUUUUCCCCUAAUCCGAGGUUGAUACUAAAGUCACCUAAUAUUUGCCAUCUUGACCAAGACCACAAGGGUCGAAAUCCAUGUCUCUUCUUUCCAUCCGACUUUUCUAAAGUGAAGUAUAGAGAAAGAUAAGUAAUUAUCUGAGUUUUCAGACUCCCAUUCUGUAGGAGAUAAAGACCUUACACUACCAUCACUAACUUGACUUAGGCCUGUAGCAAUUAUUUUCUUUUUUCUUAUAUCCUUCCUGUUAAUUGGAUGGAAAGGAGCGAGGAAUAGAUUCGAGAUUUUGACCCAAGACCUAGACUUGCUAAAGGUCUUCACCUUCCCCCCUCCCAAAAAAAAAAAAAUUUCUUCCCGCUGUAGUUAUUAUCUUUUUCUUACACGCCUCUACAAUUUCAAGUUCGAAUUGCACCAUGAACUCUAUCAUCACUUGUGUGUGUGUGUUUUUCUUUCCAAUUGGACCAUGCAACAUGCAGCACCCUUAUUUCUUCCUCUUUGUAACCAUAGUGGAUAUGUGGAUGAAAAGCAUACUUGGUUUUGAAACAUGUCAAAUUACCAAUGCACGAGCAUUAGGAUAGGACAAUCUUAUGUGUAGUGAAUAACUAUCAUUUUCAUUGCAUACCUUAAUUGUGUUAUUUCAGAUACUUUGUAGCCAAAAAAUUUUUCACAUGUUUCAGUUUUGGCCAAUAAGUUUACACAGUUGACAAGAAUUUAUUGUAAAACUAUUAAUACCUUUGCCAAAAUUAGCAAAAUAGAAGAAUUACUAAACAACACCAAAAUCCAUUGAGAGAAUGCUUUACAAAAUACUAAAGCACUAAAUGGGCUCACUUGAAUUCUAUAGCCCAAACGUUUCUAAGAAACAAACAGGAAAACAACCAUACAUGGAUCCAUGGCCUAUCCAUCCAUCAGGCAUCAAAUAUCAAGUGUGUCAUGGACUCUAUACAUUUAAGUCAUGAGUCCCAAGACUGAAAAUUAAACCUUAUAGAAAUGCUAAGAAUAAAAACUAAUCCUAUAUUCCUCUGCAUAAUUUUUUUUUUCUUUUUCUUUGAUGGUCUGAAGAAUAUUUUACGGACUUGUCAUGGAGAAAUAAAGAGUAUUUCAGAAUCCAAAUCUGAUUCUAUGUGUAACCAUAGGAUCGAAUCGGAAAUACCUUUCCUAAGAAAUUCCAACUCUUGUAUAUGCUUUCGAAAAAGUGAGAAAUUAAUGAUCAUCUGUUAUCUUCGGGUUUAUGUUUUGUCUUUCAAUUCUUAAUUGUUGUUUCUAAAGAAGAUAAGGAAUUCUUUUCGAAGGAUACAAAUCAAUUUGCAAAUUGAAGAAAACUUAUACCUACACUACUCAAAUAGUGAAAAGAAUGAACAAAAAUAACUCUGGAUAAAAAAAGAAGCAUUUUCUUUUGGUUGCAUUUCACAAGUCCAUAACUUUUAAUUGUGGACAGAGCUAAUAACUGUGGACAGAGCUAAUUUUCCUUUUCAGCCUUGCUAGUGGUGCAUUUUGGCACAAUUGCUGGUUUUUGCCACUAAAAGCAACGCUCAGUGACCUGAAUGUUGGAUCCUUAAUCUAACGUUGGACUUAUAUGUGAAUAAUUAUGGGUUUAAUUAUAUUAUGUUUUCUGUUCAGCUGCGAAUGAUCUUAAAAAUAUUACUUCCAACAUCAAUAAUAUUCCUAUGCUGAAUGACACAAACUUCAAGUCUUGGAAAGAAAAUCUCUUGACAGUACUUGGAGUAAUGGAUCUCGACCUUGCGAUAAAGGAUGAUUCUUCCUCACCUUUUACAGAUCAGAGUACCUCUGAUGAAAAGAAAAAUAAUGAAAGGUGGGAGAGAUCGAAUCGCUUGUAUCUGAUGAUCAUUAAAAAGGCCGUUCCAGAAGCAUUUAGGAGAACAAUGUCAGAAACGACAGUAACCGCUAAAGAGUUUUUUCAGGACAUUGAAAAAAGAUUUAUCAAGAACGAAAAGACUGAAGUUAGUACGCUCUUGACAUGCUUAGUUUCGAUGAAAUAUAGUGGUAAAGGUAAUAUCAGAGAGUAAAUUAUGGAGAUGUCUCAUCUUACCUCAAAAUUGAAUUCACUCAAAUUGAAACUCUCCGAAGAGUUGCUGGUGCAUUUGAUUUUAAUAUUUCUUCCUACACAGUUUAGCUAGUUUAAGAUGAGUUACAACUGUCAAAAAGAGACUUGGUCUCUAAAUGAACUCAUCUCACACUGUGUAGAGGAAAACAAAAGAUUGAAGCAAGAUCAGACAGAAGGUGUCCAUCUGGUUUUAAUCAUUAAUAAUAAAAGUAAGGGACUUAAGAGAAAGAAUGAAAAAGGAGCUGCAGGUACAGGCCACAAAAGAAACAACAAAAGAAAUCAGCUGAUCAGAGAAAGAAUAGUUGUUCUUUUGUGGAGUUGAAGGGCAUAAAAAGAAGUAUUGCACCAACUAUCACGUUUGGCGUGCUAAAAAAGGUAUGUUUCUUAAUUUGGUUUGUUCUGAAGUGAAUUUAACUUCGGUACCUAGACAUACGUGGUGGUUAGAUUUUGGUGCAACAACUCACAUCAGUGUGUCUAUGUAGGGUUGCCUGAAUUGCCGAAAGCCUAAUGAUAAUGAAAGAUAUAUCUACAUGGGCGAUGGCAAAACAGUUCAAAUUGAGGCAAUUGGAGUUUUUAGAUUAUUGUUAAAGAUCGGAUUUUAUUUAGAUCUCAAUGAAACAUUUGUUGUACCGUCUUUUAGAUGGAAUUUAAUUUCUAUUUCUGCUUGGGACAAAUUUGAUUAUUCUUGUUCAUUUGAAAAUGGAAAAUUUGAAUUAUUUCAUGAUUCAAAAUUGGUUGGUUCUGGUUCUUUAAUGCACUAUGAUAAUCUAUAUUUAAUUGAUACAAUUAUCUCAUUUAAUGAAUCUCUACAUUUGAGUACUAGAUGAGUAAAGAGAAAAUUAACCAAAGAGAAUUCAGCCGCAUUAUGGCACAAGAGAUUGGGAUAUAUCUCCAAACGGAGAAUGGAAAGACUUGUGUCAAAUGAAAUUCUCGACCCCUUAAAUUUUACAGAUUUUGAUGAUUGUAUUAACUGUAUAAAAAGGAAACAAACCAAUAAAAGGAGAUUUGAAACCAAUAGGUCUUUAGACGUCUUAGAACUUAUACAUACAGAUGUUUGUGGGCCAUUUUCUACAACUGCUUGGAAUGAUCAACAAUAUUUUAUAACAUUCAUAGACGAUUUUUCAAGAUAUGGUUACAUAUAUCUCAUUUCUGAAAAGUCACAGUUACUGGACGUGUUCAAAAUUUUUAAGGAUGAAGUUGAGAAUCAACUCAAUAAAAGAAUUAAAAGCGUCAGAUCUGACCGUGAUGGUGAAUACUAUGGUAGAUAUGAUGAUUCAGGUGAACAACGUCCAGGACCAUUUGCUAAAUACCUAGAGGAAUGCAGUAUUCUCCUACAAUACACUAUGCCGAAUUUACUUACUAUGAAUGGUGUAGUUGAAAGACGAAAUAGAACGCUUAAAGAUAUGGUAAUGAGUAUGAUAUGUCAUUCUACCUUACCAGAGUCAUUCUGGGGAGAAGCACUUAAGACUGCAGCAUAUAUUCUUAAUAGAAUUCCAACAAAAGCAACUAUCAAAAUCCCUUAUGAGUUUUGGACAGGAAAAAAGCCCAGUUUAAAGCAUUCAAUCAUUUUGCUUGCCAACAACGAUAUUGGUAUAUUGCACGAAACCAAGAAAUUUCUAACAAAAAAUUUUGAGUUGAAAGAUCUUGGUGAUGCAUUUUUUGUGUUAGGCAUACAAAUACAUCGGGAUCGAUCUCGGGGUAUUUUAGAACUAUUACAAAAGGGCUAUAUCGAAAAGGUUCUUAAAAGGUAUGGCAUGCAAAAUUAUAAAACAAGUUACACUCCUGUAGUUAAAGGAGACAAAUUUAGUCUUGAACAUUGCCCUAAGAAUGCUUUUGAGGAAAAAGAGAUGUAAAAGAUUCCUUAUGCAUCAGCAGUAGGGAGUCUAAUGUAUGCUCAAAUAUGUACACGUCCGAAUAUUGCAUACAUUACUGGAAUGAUGGGUAGAUAUUUGAGUAAUCGUGGAUUAGAUCAUUGGAAAGCAACCAAACCGGUCUUACGGUAUCUACAGAAAAUAAAAGAUUACAUGCUCACGUAUUGGAAGUCAGAUGAGUUAGAGAUCAUUGGGUAUACUAAUUCCGAUUAUGUUGAAUGCCAAUAUACUAUGAAGUCAACGUCAGGCUAUAUCUACUUAUUGGCUGGAGGUGUCAUAUCCUAGAAGAGUACUAAACAGUCCCUUAUAACAUCUUCUACUAUGAUUGCAGAGUUUAUAACUUGUUAUAAGGCAUCCAAUCAAGGAAUUUGGCUGCAAAAUUUCGUCACAGGAUUACGUGUAGUGGAUAGUAUUGAAAGACCACUCAAAUUAUUUUGUAACAAUAAGUCAGCAGUCCUAUAUUCCAAUAAUAACAGGAGUUCGACGAAAUCUAAAUAUAUAGAUAUCAAGUUCCUGACUGUUAAAGAAAGAGUACAGAGUGGACAGUUAUCAAUAGAGCAUAUCGGGACAAACUCCAUGGUUGCGGAUCCGCUUACUAACGGAUUGUCACCCAAAAUAUUUCAUGAGCAUACUGCUCGUAUGGGUGUCAUGUUGUUAAAUUAUGUACAGUUUUAGUGGGAUUUUGAUAUUUUAAAUGCUCUUAUGAUAUUUUUCGAUUAUUAAUGAUUUAAGGAUAUUUUAUGCAUAAUAAAGUUUGGAUUUAUUUACACUCUGACUUUGGUAUGGUUUAAUCUCAUAAAAAUUUAAAAUGAAUCAGUUGGAAAUAGGCAUGUUUUGAUCAUAUUACAUGAAAUUUUCAUGCUAUAUAUCCACACCAUGAUUCAUGUUAUUUAAUUGUAUCGAUAUAUGUGACUAUUGAUGGGUCGAGUUACGAAAUUGUAACAAAGGCCGCUUUGAUCCUAUAUUGAUGUGAUUGAUGGACCAAAUUGGUUACAGAUACAUUUUAAUAAUGACAGUAAAGUUGAGCUAAUACGGUUAAUUGCGAAACAUAAUUAUAAGGUUACACAUUAGUCCAAGUGGGAAAUUGUUGGAUCUUUAAUUCAACGUUGGACUUAUAUGUGAAUAAUUAUGGGUUGCAAACUGUCAAAUAAGGUUAAAUCUAUUAAAGUGAUCAAAUAUAGUUUGGAGUUAAUGUAUCUAAUAAGAUGUGGAUCUUUAAUGUGUAGAGAUUUCAGGGCUCCUAUUUCUAUGAUGGGUUGAAAUAGGGUUCCAAAAGGUAACAGGAAUGUUACCUAUAAAUAGGGUUAUGGUCCCUAGGUCACAUGUAUCAUUCUAUUUGUCGUAUUUUCUAGUACCACAAAAUAUAUCUCUUCCCUGAUAUCCCAUCGUCGGAAAAGAUACCAGAGAGAAAUUAAAGGGCUCUCUCAAGGAUUGACGAAUACGUGUUGAUUUGGAAGGCCACCCCAAUAUCUUUGGAGAUUCAUAUAUCAGUUUGUCGAUAUGAAUCCAGGUAUGCUUCCGCAUUUAUAGUACAGUUAUAUUCAAAUAUCUGAUAUUGGAAUCUUGAAAAUCUUACACUGGAUACUCUUCUUGCUCUGAAGACAACCAUAUUAGAUCCCCAAAGGAUCAUCCCAACCAACUGGUCCACUUCUACCUCCGUUUGCAGCUGGAUUGGAAUCGCUUGUAACAGUCGCCACCAAAGAGUGGCACUGAAACACAUACGAGCUGAAGUUUGCAUUUCUUUUCGGGAUUCAAAAAGAGAUAUUAAGAAGUGCAAUAAUUCCAUUGCAGUACAAUUUUAUGUUUCUAUUUUGACUAGACCAAAUUUUGCUUACACUCCUAAGUAACUAAACCUCAUGGUUAGAGUAUAUGUAGAGUAUAGCUAUGUAGAACUGAUUAAUGCGUUCAAGUUUCCAAUUUCGGCAGAUAAAAAGCAAUGUUUUCAAAAUUGGAUCGGACCGGACUGGCCGGUUCGAUCGGUCCGACCGCGAACCGGUCAUGUCGCAGGUCCGGUCCAGUAUCAGACCCGGAAGGUAAUGGAAAAUCGGGCGAACCGGACGAACCGUUAAAACCGGGAACCGGCGGUUCUUAAAUUUUCAAGCAAUAUAACCUCAAAUUCAAAAUAAUAGCAAGAAUGGAGGCUGCUAGAUUCGAACUUGGGUCUCAGAGACCACAAUAAGGUAUGCUUGCCGCUAAACCACAGCCAAAGGACGAGUUAUUGUUGUGUAGAAUUGUACUGAACUAAAAAAUAAAAUCAGAUAAAUAAAAAAACCCUAGCAUUAAGAAAGUGCAGACGACACAUUUCAUUUCAAUUUCACUUCCUCCAUUUCUCUCUCUCAGCUUCUUCAGUUCGCAUCUUGAUUUUUUUUUAAAAAUUUUUUCUUCAUAAUCCUUCACAUCCAAAUAUCCACGACAAGAUCAUCACGCUAUUAUCUGUAGACGAGACUCUAGAGCUUUUCCAUCUUGGUAAGUUUAAUUUUUGUCUUUUAUUGUUUUUCAUAGAACAAGUAUGUUGGAUUAUUUCUGUGAUGCCGAUUGUUUCUUCUUCCAUUCCCUGGUACUUAAUCUUCAUUAACAAACUACUGAGAUGCUUCCAUGAUUAAGGUGAUACUAUACAAAAGUUUUUUUUUAUUUCUUCAGGCUUUGAACUUUUGAUUUUGGAAACCUGAAUUGUUGUGGAAGCUUGCAAUUAACAAGGGCUCUUGGUAUUUGUUGAUGUCAUUGAAAUAUUAUACUCUUUAAUAUAGAGAAACCGAAAUCCUUUGAUCUUUUUCACUUGUGCCAACUUCAGUCUUUGACACACAGAGAAACGUAGAGUUGAAUAUACAGAGAUGUGUAAGACUGGGAAAUAAUCAUGACAUUUUUUACCCAUUGCCACAUAUCCAGAUACAUGUUAUUCAAGAAGAAACAACUCGAUUUUUGUAAAAGUUGUACUUGUUUAUGAGUUAUAAAUGAUAGCCUUUUUUACAGUUGAUUUCCUUCUUCAGUUGAAUAUAGAAAAAUCCACUACUUUUAGGAGUCAUUUUCUUCAAAUCAAUGUUCUUUAAUGAAUUAGUAGAAAUCAUUUUAAUUGUCAAAUCCAAGAAAAAUUGCCUAUGGUAACUUGUUUGAGCAAUUUAUGUCUUUGCUAACUUUUCUGUUUCCUUUAUUUAUUGUUUGUUCAAAUAAAUUUAAUUGCUUUUUAUUUGUUAAAAGCAACUAGGAUCAUAAGAAAUUAUAUCUCUUUCAUUCAAAGUUUAGGAGAUUUAUUUGGUACUAUAUUGUAUAAAGUUUGGCAGCUUUAGCUUAUUUAAUUACCGUUGAUUAUUAAUACUCUAAAAGUAAGAAGUGUUAUAUUGUUUACAUUAGUGGUGCAAAAGUGAGCAAAAGUGACUAAUUGAUCUUCUUAUAUUACUGAAAAUUUGUUAAUUUUAUUUUCUUAUUAGUACACUAUAUUUUACAAAUGAACUAAUUAUGUCUAAAUUAACUAUGUGAAGGAUAAUGGAAACCGAUACUGGUACUAGUAGUAAUUCACAAUCUUCGACUAUUGGAGCUGUCAAUAGUGAACAAUCAGCUAGUCAAAAUCAUAGACAAAAGUUUGAUAUAGCAUGAAAUUAUUGGGCCUGUUUGGAAGUGAAUUUUUUGACCAAGUUUUUUACCUACUAGUUUUUUAACAACUUUUGCUACAGGAACCCCAAAAAACUUCUUAAAAUUUUUUCUCUACACACUUAAAAAAUCUAAUACACAAAAAUUUUCCAAAAACUUUUCUUCUUUUUCCUUCCUCAUCCAACCCACCAUGCCAGCCACCACCUCCACCACUUGUACCGGCGCCGGUCACCUCAAAAAAAUUUUUUUCUGUCCCUCACCCUCGCCCCCUCUCCUCUGCAGAAAAAGGAGUAACGCUGUCGUUUAUGCCGGGGGUUGGGCCGACUGUCUCUCUUUAUUUAUUGUUUUUUUUUUUUUACAAAUCACCCAAAGUGGAGUUAGGGUUGGGGAGAUCCGUUAUUUCCAUGGUGGGCAUGGAAGGAAUUGCAGCGGCGGGAGGAACUGGAAUUAGAAGUGGAAGUGGAAUAGGGGGAGGAGGAGGAGCUGUCUCAGUCUCAGAGAGGGGGAGAGGAGAAAAGCAAAAAAAAAAAAAAAAAAGAACAGAGCCAAGCAGGGGCAUAGAGGUCGAACGACUCUGCGCUCGUUACGACUGGAAUGCGCUGUGGUCGCGCUGUGGAGAAGGCGCACCAGGAGCUGGGCUGGCUGAUGCGCGUGUGGAGGAGGUCGGGGGCACUGGCGCUCUGGUGCACCUGCGUUUCUGGUCGAAGAGGCGCCGGAGGUGAUGGUCGGCACUCCAAGAAACAAGGGGAGGGAGAGGGGGAAGGGGCAGUGGGGGAGGGGGUGGCAGGGCAGAGGAGGUGGCGGGGCAGCGAGGGAAGGGGGUUGUGUGCAGAGGGGAGGGGAAGGCGGGUAGCGGGGGAAGGGGUGGUGUGCAGAGAGGAGGGGGAAGAGGGGGAGGGGGUGGCGGAGCAGCGAGGGAAGGGGCAGCGGGAGGAGGGGUUGGUGUGCAGAGGGGAGGGGAAAGACAAAGGAGAGGAGAAGGGGAAAGGGAGGAGAGGGGUGGCGGGAGGGGGAAGAAGAAGAAGAAGAAGAAAGAGAGGAAAGAAAAGAAAAAUGAAAGAAAGAAAAAGAAAAAGAAAGAGAAAGAAAAAAAGAAAAGGGAAAAAAAAUUUCACCUUAUAAAAACUUCUACAAAAAUUUUUACCUUACAAAAACUUCUACAAAAAUUUUUUUCACCUUUCAAAAACUUUUACAAAAUUUUUUCAAAAACUUCUACAGUGCACUACAGUAAAGUUUUAGACAAACUCUCAAAAAACUCAGGUUUCAAACAGGCCCAUUGUUUAGUAGGUGUGAAUAGUCAAGGAAGAAGAACUUUGACAUGUGGGUAUUGUUUUAAAGUAAUUGCUGGUGGUGGCAUUCAUCGAAUGAAACAACAUUUGGCAGCAGAACAAGGCAGCAUUAUUCCAUGUUCAAAGGUUGACCCGGCAGUUAGACAUGCUAUUUUAGCAUCUAUGAAGGAGAAGGAGUAGAAAUCUAAAGAAAAAAAAGGUGAUUUUGGGGUGAAAAAUCCAUUCGGCCACACUACUCAUGUAUUUGAUGGCGAUGAAGUAUUGGAAAUUCCUUCUUCUUUAGCAAAUGAGAUGGGUUCAUCUAGUAAAGGAAAGAGAAAGGUCACUGCAUCAACAGGUAUACGUGCUCUUUUUAAAGGUGGACGUGAUACUUCUCAAUCAACCAUUAAAACUUGUUUGCAAAGUAAGGAAAAAUGGACAAAUACGGACGUAGCUAUUGCUUUUUGGUUUUAUGAUGCUUGCAUUCCUAUAAAUGCUGUUAAUUCUCCAUUUUUUCAAAAAGUUAUUGAUCAAAUAGCAUCAAUGGGUAAUGGUUACAAAGGCCCCUCCUAUCAUUCUUUGAGAGUUAACUUGUUGCGAAAUGCCAAGAGAGAUGUGAAAUUAGUUGUUGAUUCUUUUAUAAGUACUUGGGCAGAAACUGGUUGCACUAUAAUGGGUGAUGGAUGGAAAGACACUAGACAAAGACCAUUGAUUAAUUUUUUGAUUUAUUGUCCUAAGGGUAUUUCGUUGAUUAAAUCUGUGGAUGCAUAUGAUAUUGUAACAAGUGCAGAAAAUUUGUGCAAUUUAUUUGCUGAAAUUGUUGAGAUGGCUGGCUCAAAUAAUGUGGUGCACUUAGUUACUGAUAAUGCUAGCAAUUAUAAAGCUGCUGGGUCUUUGUUAAGUGAAAGAUAUCCGAACAUUUGUUGGUCACUGUGUGCUGCACACUGCAUCAAUUUGAUUUUGAAAGACAUUGGUGAAAUGAAUGAUGUAAAAGCUAUAGUGUCUCUUGCUUCAACGGUGACUGUUUUUUAUCUACAAUCAUAAGUUCACUUUGAAUUGGUUAAGAAAGACUAUAGGGUGGAAAGAAAUUAUUCGUCUAGGUGAAACUCGAUUUGCAACUACCUUUAUUGCGUUAAAAAGUUUGCAUGAUCAUAAGGAUAGUUUGCAAUCUUUGGUUACUUGUGGGGAUUACAAAAAAUUUCUGAGAAUAGAAAAAGGAAAAGAUGUGAAGCAAAUCGUUUUGGAUGAAAGGUUUUGGAAUAACUGUUUGAUCAUGAUGCGAAUAAUGGGCCCUAUCAUUCGUUUAUUGCGUAUUUGUGACACUGAUGAAAGGCCUUCAACGGGUUAUGUUUAUGAAGGCAUGUUUAGAGCAAUAAAUGGCAUCAAAAGGCUGUUUAGAAAUAAAGAGAGAUUGUACAAGUCUUAUAUUGACAUCAUCAAUGAUAGGUGGGAUAGAAUGUUGAGAAAAAAUCUACAUGCUGUCGCUUAUUAUUUGAAUCCUGCUUUUCAAUAUGAGACUGCCACAUUUUGUACACAUCCAAAGGUUAUAAAUGGCUUGCUUGAUUACAUUGAAACAAAAGUGGAUUGGUGCAACCCUGAAAAAUUAUCGCAAGAGGUUGGAAUGUAUCGGGAAAGACAAAGGAGUUUUGGAUGCAAACUUGCUAUUCUUACUAGCAAAUCUGGUUGGCCUGGUUAUUUAUAUUUUGUUGAUAUCUAAAACUUGUGAAUUUAUUCUUUAUUUGAUCUAAUAUUUUAAUAUGAUUGUGACAGAAAAUUGGUGGAAGUUAUAUGGUUGUGAUGCUCCGAAUUUGCAAAAGAUUGCAAUUAGAAUUUUGAUUCAAACAACUUCUUCUUUUGAGUGUGAACGUAAUUGGAGCGUUUUUGAACGCAUUCACACUAAAAAAAGGAAUCAGUUGGAGCACCAAAGACUUAAUGAUCUUGUUUAUGUGCACUACAAUUUGCGUUUGCAACAUAGAUAUAAUUGAUUUUUUACUUUAUUCUUUACAUUUUAUUUAUAAAGUAAUAUUAGAUUUGUAACUAAUGUAUUUUAUUGUAGGUUUGAUCACCGAAAGAGAUCUUAUGGUCCCAUUGAUUAUGAAUCUAUUCAUAAAAUGGAAUUUUGGGUCAUAAAAGAAGAACAAGAUGGCGAGUUUAAUUGUGAUGAAUUGGAGGAAGAAUUCGAAAAACUUCCUAAAGAUGAUUCUCAACUAGUUGAAGGUUGGUUUUAAUAUUAAAAUAAAUAUAUUUUUAACUUGUAAUAUGAGGUGCUAAAAGUGCAUUUUUUAAUUGAAAUUUUAUUAUAAAUAUGGAUAAAUUCUUAAUUGUUUAUUUAUUUAGAUGAUGAAAGUGAAGUUGGGGAAGAUAAUGCUAUUGAUUUGGAAGCAUUUCAGCGUAGGCGCCUUUUGGAUGAUGAUGAAGAUAAUGAUUGAUAAUAUAACAUGUUAAUUAGUGAUGUUUAGUAUCAAUUGAUUCUUUUUGUGUUUGGUUGUAUCUUUGUUUUUAGAAUUUUUUUGACUUUUUUUUAGUUUCACCAAUUAGAUUUAUAUUUUUUGUAAUAAAUUUUUUAAUUUUUCAGGUUAAAUUGAUGAAAUUGUAAAGGAGGUGCUGUUGCCUUGUCAUGCCAAUGAUGGAAGUUUGUUAUUCAAAUUGUUUGCCUUGAAUAUGAGUUGAACUCUGUGAUGGACUUUUUGAGAAUUGUAAAAGAAUGUCAACAUUUAUUUUAUUUAUUUUUGUGUUUUUGUUUAUGAUAAUUGAUGAACAUUUGGACUAUAUCUAUUUAUGUUUAUAAUGAAUUUAUGAAAACCUGUGAUAAAUUAUGAUAUUUUAGUUAUAUUUAUCAUGCCAAGUUUCAUGUAUAACUUUUAGAAAAUUUAUUAUUAUCUCAACUUAAAUUUAAUUUUAAGUUAUAUUGGUGAAUGUAUUUUAGGGACUUAAGUUAUUAAUAAUCAUGUUGGAUUGUACAUUAGCUGUUAAGUUUUAGUGUAGACUGUAGAAUGAAAAACUAUGAACUGUGAAGUAAAAAAAAAAAAAAAAAGUUGAAUCGUUGAACCGGGCGGUCAGACCGUGAACCUCUCUCCCUCCGGUUCGCUGGCAGGUUCGAGUUUAAAAACAUUGGUAAAAAGCCAGUCAAAUAAUUUACUGACAUGUCCAGCUCCAAAAUAUCUCUUAGGCUCAAAAGGCUUGUUGUGUGGUAGAACUUAAUUUUUUGGAAUUAAGAUAAAUAUUUCUGAGUGUAGCAACAUUUCUUAAAGAGUUAAAAACAAAAAAUCCCCUGUGUUAUAUUUAAUAUAUAGAAAAGCCUCCCGUAGUUUCGAAACAUACAAAACGACAUCUCAUGUUUUGAACUAAAUUGUAAACUAAUAAAAUUCGUUAAAUUUAAUGAAAAUAACGGUCUCGACUGUUAAACUUAUUGGAUUCCAUUAAGUUUACUGUUAAUUUUAACGAAUUCCGUUAAAUUUUCUGUUAAGAUUACCAGAUUUCGUUAAGUUUAACAAAUUCUGUUAGUUUAUAAUUUAGUUCAAAACAUGAGGUGUUGUUUUGUAUAUUUUGAAACUAUGAGGGAUUUUUUUUGUGUAUUAGGUAUACUACAUGGAGUUUUUUUUAUUUUUAACCCUUUCCUAAACAAGAAGCCACCAUACCAGAGAGCUUAUUUUGUCCUAGAUCUAAAUAGCCUAAGUUCAACAAAUAACAAAAGUCACUUGGAAUAGCACCUUGCAUUUGAUUGUCGCUUAGAUCUAUCCUCUAAAGCUUCAAGAACCAUUUGAUUGUAGUUGGAAUUAACCUUGUUAAACUAUUGCCGUUAAAUGCUAAGUUUACCUAUUAGGUGAUUAUUUAUAUUAAAUUUUGGUAAAAACUAUCAUCUAUUAAAUCCAAAAUUUUUAUGGUAAUUAUUAAGAAAUAAAUUAACAGCAAAAUUGUGGAAGCGUACUUGGAUUCAUAUUGACUAACUGGUACUUGAAUCCUUAGAGAUUUUGAAAUGGUCUUCCAAAUCAACACGUAUUUGCUAUUCCCUUGAGAGAUGCUUUUAGUUUCUCUCAAGUAUAUUUUCUGAUGAUGGAAUAUCAGGAAAAAAUUAUUUUGUGGCACUAAAAUACGAUAAUAAGAAUACAUGUAACUUGGGAACCAUAACCCUAUUUAUAUAUAACUUUCCUACUCUCUUUUUUAUUCCUAUUUCAACCCAUCAUAGAAAUAGAAAUUAUUCUUAAAUCUCUAUAAAUUAAAGACCCACAUCCUAUUAGAUACAUUAAAAUCUAAACUAUAUUUGAUCACUUUAAUUAAAUUUAACCUUAUUUAACAGUCUGCAACACAUAAUUAUUUAUAUAUAAAUCCAACGCUGGAUUAAGGAUCCAAUAAUCUCCCACUUGGACUAUAUUUGUAACCUCAUAAUUAUAUUUUGUAAUUAACCAUAUGAGUUCAACUUCAUUGUUUUAAUCAAAAUGUAUCUACAAACAAUUCGGUACAUCAAUUACACCAACAUAGAAUCAAAGCGAUUUUUGUUACAAGUUUAUAACUUGACCCAUUAAUGGUCACAUGUAUUGAUAUAAUUGAAUGACAUGAAUCAUGAUGUGAACGUGUAAUAUGAAAAUUUCAUGUAACGUGAUAAUAAUAUGCCUAUUUUCAAUUGGUCCACCUUAAAUUUCGUGAGAUCAAACCAUACCAAAAUCAGAGUAUAAUAAAUCCAAACUUUAUUUGUACAAAAAAAAUUCUUAAAUCUUAAUAACCAAAAAUAUAAUAUUAUAAGAGUAUUUAAAAUAACAAACUCACACUACAACUGAAUAUCAUUUAAUAACAUAACACCCAUAUGAGCAGUAUGCUCAUGAAACAAUUUAAGUAGCAAUCCCUUAAUAAGUGGAUCCGCAACCAUAGAAUUUGUUCUGAUAUGUUCUAUUGACAAUUGUCCACAGUGUACUCUUUCUUUAACAGUCAAAAAUUUGAUAUCUAUAUGUUUAGAUUUUGUCGAAUUUCUGUUAUUAUUGGAAUAUAGAAUUACUGAAAUUUGAGUGGUCAUUCAAUACUAUCCACUAUACGUAAUCAUAUGGUAAAAUUUCGUAGGCAAAUCUUAUGAUUGGAUGUCUCAUAAUAAGGUAUAAAUUCUGUAGUCAUAGUGGAAGAAAUUAUAAUAGACUGUUUUGCACUCUUUCAGAAUAUAACACCUCCAGCCAACAAGUAGAUAUAACUUGAUAUUGAUUUCAUACUAUCUUGACAUCUAAUAUAAUCAGAAUCAGUAUACCCCAAUGAUCUCGAACUUAUCUGACCUCCGAUACGUGAGCAUGUAAUCUUUUAUUUUCUGUAAAUACUGCAAAACCCAUUUGGUUGCCUUUCAAUAAUCUAAUUUAGAAUUGCUUAAAUAGCUACCCAACAUCCUUGUAAUGUCCACAAUAUCCGGACGCGUACAGAUCUAAACAUACAUUAGAUUCUCUACUGUUGAUGCAUAAGUAAUAUUUUAUAUUUUUUUUCUUAAAAGUAUUUUUAGAAUACUUAUCGAGACUAAACUUAUCUCCUUUAGUCACAGGGGAGUUACAUGAUUUAUAGUUUUGUAUGUCAUAUGUUUUAAGAAUAUUUUCGAUAUAGUCUUUUGUGAUAGGCUAAAAAUAUCCCAAGAGCGAUUCCAGUGUAUCUGCAUGCUUAACACAAAAGAUGUAUCAUCAAGAUUUUUCAUCUCAAAAUUUUUAAUUAAAAAUCUCUUGAUUUCAUGCAAUAAUCCUAUAUUGUUGUUGCCAAGUAAAAUGUCAUUUAUAUACAAUAUCAGGAAAAUAUAGUUGCUCCUACAAAACUUAUGGUAUAUACAAUCAUCUACUAAAUUCAUCUCAGAACCAAAUGAAAUGAUCAUUUGAUGAAAUUUAAAAUACCAUUGUCGAGAUGCUUCUUUGAAUCCAUAGAUGAAUUUUUAAAAUUUACAAAUUAUAUUUUUUGGAUCUUUCGAUACAAAAUUUUCUGACGGCACGAUAUAAAUCGCCUCAUCAAUGUUAUGAUUAAAAAAUGCUGUUUUUGUGGAGACCCGAAAAUUUUCUUAUUUUUAUCAUAUUUUACUGAUUUAUUUAAAUAUUUAUUCACCUGUUUUUUCCGAAUAGUUUAUGUCAACAAUUUUAAAUCCAUUUACAUGGAACCAUGUCUCACUUAUAAUUUUAAAACGUUCCGUUAGCAAAUUUAAUUUUUCGGAGGCUCGUUAGUAAGGAAUAACGAGUACACAUUUUCCGAGAUAAUAUGCGAUUUGACAGUAUAAUAAUCUUGAAGAAUUAAGAAUGAUUAAUAAUAGACUAAGAAAAGUUAAUUGAGGGAUUAGAUAUGAGUUAGCUAAUUAUGUUAUCGUUACAUGAAUUUCUUUUGAAUUUCACCUUAUCGCGUGCGAAUCGGAAGUUCGCGUAUUUUGCACCGAAUCGGUUAAAUGGAGAUUUAAGAAACUUAUACGGGACUACUAAGAGUAAAUAAUUAUAGUGUUAAAGGAAUUACAUUGGAGGUUUAGUGCACAAGUGAAACAAAUCCAAGAGUAAACGGAUAUGAAACGCGCGCGCGCGAACAUUAUUCUUAGUUGACUUUUGUAGGAAUUUUAGCCACAAAUCACUGAAGGUUCAUAACACACAACACUCUCUCUCCUCACCUCCCAUAGUCGGCCGAACCUUCAAGGGAAAAGAAGGAAAGAAACCUCUUCUUGUCUUGUUCAAAUCUUGCACCAAAACACCAUUCAAUCUUCUAACUACUUGGAGAUUUACUUAAUCUUGGUGGAGGACUUCAUCUUGUGGUGAUUCUUGGGCGUUUUAGUGGUGAAAAUUUUUGGGUCUUCAAGAGCUAAGGAGGUAACAAACAACUAAUCUUAUCUCUUCAUUUAAUACAAGAUCUAUGGUUGUUUAUGCAUGGGUUUUUAACCCUAAGCAUGAAACUAGGUAGAGGAGUUGAGGAGCUCACUUUAUCUUGCUUUAUUGUUAGGAUAGAGGCCUUGAGGAGACCUCUAGGUAGCUGCUUUGAGGAUCUAAUAUGUUGUUUGUGGUGUUUAUGUGCUAAACAAGAUGAUAUUGGUUAGAAAAGUGAAAGGAAAAUCGAAGGAAGUUGGUGAAUGAAACUGGCCGAAUCUGUCCAGUGAUUAUCGUACCUGACUUUUGAAUUUUUGUGGGUUGUUUUGCUGUGAAAUUGGUUGAUAUAUGUUGUAUAUGGUGUGUAGAAAGUUUCUACCAAAAAUCAUUUGAAUUGGUUGAGCAAAACAUCAAAUUUCGAAAUGGGAAGAAAUUUGGAAAACGUGUUCAGGCAGUCCGAACAGUAACUCUUUGAUCGAACAUAACUUUUUUUACAAAAGUCAAAAUCGAGUGCUGUUGUGGCAUUUUAAACUAGACAUUUGUAGCUUUUCAACAGUAUAAAAUUCACUUUCAAGUUCGAACUAAGUGAGCCGUAGUGAUUCGGCAAAAUUUGCUGUCCUGUUCUAGCUAUCCAUCCGAGAGAAAGGUAGAAUCUGCAUCUUGUGGCUCUAUUUUCUCUCACUUAAAAAUUGAUUUUUAAAAUGACCUGUUCUGAUGAAAUGUACCCUUUUAAAGCUAGUUUCCAACGCCACUGACCAUUCUCAAUUUCAACUUGUAUUGAGUGAGAUAUGGUCUAAUUCCCGACCUGUGACAAAGCUGGAAAACUGGACAAUUUUUCCUUUCUUACUAGCCAAAUGGUUAGGUAUUUGGGACAUGUUUCGAAAAGUUUGGUGUCAAUUACCUACCAAUUGCUUCUUGGAUGUUUAUAAGUCCUUGGCUUCACAAAUGAACCGAAUUGAGACUGAUUUCAUAGUACAAAAUGUUUGAAAAAGGAAAAGAAAGUAAGGGGACAGAUUUGCUUUAAGAAUUUCCUAAACUUCGGGAAUUUUGUUAACUAUUUUUCCGUACGAGUUUUUGUGUGAAAUUUGAUAGAGGAGUAGUCCUCAUAUGGAAGUAUAAUUGUACUAAAUUUGGUGUUAUUCUAAAACUUUUUCGAUACUCAAAUGAAAUCCCAAAGUUUGCUCUUCAAAUCUGGAAAAUUUCUAAAUAGUGUACAAAAGUCAGCCGACUUUAAACUACUAUAUCUUUACGCUCAAAACUCCAAAUAUAGUUGCGUUUGUCCUGUUUGAAACUUUGUUUGGAACUCAUAUUGUGUUAUGAAUUUCAAAGGUUAGUUCACUUUCUGUGAAUUUUACCGAAUUUUCAAAAUUUACCGAAAAAUAAGACUGAAACUGUCUUGCUGGUUUAGACCAGACACUUUGAGCUGAAAAUUUAAUGUUUUCCGUUUAGAAUCUUGAAAAAGUGUUUUCUAAGAACUUUUAAUACUUUGAACUAGUUUCCAAUGGUAUAAAUCUUUCCAUUUUUGGAUGUGCCAAGCUCAAGAUUCAAUUUUUCAAAGAUUGUCGUGCAAAGCUUAAAUUUCCCGAUUUCUUAUGAAAUGAGUUUUUGAGAACUCGUUAUUCUUUUUUGAUAUUGAUUGAUUGUUUUAAACUCAAUUUCAUAGAGAAAAUCAGUUUCUCUUGUGUUAAUAAACCCUCACUUUUGAAUCUCGAUUUUCGAGAUAUUGAGGCUUUUCGAGACAUUGUUUUAAUUUGAAAACGAACGUACAUUCUUCUUUGUUUGGUAAGGAGUUUGUAUGUAUUUAUGGGUGAUGGAUAAUUGUUAUGUUUUCAGGCGCUCAAGAGGGUCUUGAAGAGAAUCCCGGAGCCAACCAUUAAAGAUCUUUUGCACUUACUCCCUUAUUGUGAUUUGGUGAGUGUCUAGUGCAUGAUUUGGUAUCAUUAUGUGAAUUGCUUCUUAUGGAUUGAAUGAUUGAUAAUUGUUGUCGAGUGUGUACUUUAUCACACUUGUUUUCUUUUAAUUGAUUACGUAAUUGAAUUAAUCAUAAUUGAACUGUAUGAAGUGAAUUGAAAAUUAUUCUUGGAUUGGAUAAAUGUCAAUUGGAGUGAAUCUCCUCGACUCAUAACGGUAAUUGGGGAACGCUCAAACUCAUCGGCCGACCUUGCGACUCGAACCGGCAUGAGUUUGGUUGGAAAGUUUGGUGAGCCAUGAGAAUAUCACGAGCUUGAUCUAUUGGAGAAAUCUCGCUCAGCAUACUCGAGUAGUAUCGUCUCUUAUAGCCGAAGAGCGGACCCGGGAUAGGUGGUGUAACGGUGAACGGGAAAGAGUAAGUGAAGUUCUACGGAUUGAAUAUUGACCCGGUUGAUGGAGUGUCAUCGUGGGGAAGUAAUUGAUCGAGCCAUGGUGAAGCAAGUAGCUCCUGAGAGCUCCUGUAUCCUCAUUGAAUGUGUUUAUUAAAAAUUGUGAAUUGCUUGAAUGUCACAAUUUUAUGUCUCGCUUAAUUGCUAUUGCUACUUGAACUAAAUGUUUGCAUAUUUUCUUGGCCUCAUUGAGCGUUAGCUCAUCCCAUUAGAUUUGUUUCCUUAACAGGAGAUGAAAUCGGAAAAAGUUAUGGAGAAACCGACUUGAGGCACUUUUGAUUAGGGUUUUGAAUGUAUUUGACUAGACAUAUUUUGAAAGUUGUAUAUUUUGAGAAAGUGGAUGUUAUUUUGAAACUCGUGAUGUAAGAUUGAACAUUUAUGUAUGGAAGCGACUACUUUUUUUCGUCGUAACUUUUAUUAUUCGGUUAUUAUCCUUAACUUUAAAUUGAAUUGUAUCUAGUCAUGGCGAGAGUUGGGCAGGCGUUCCGCAGAUACCCUUGGGUUCGUUCUUGGGAAAAGUGAGGGCGUUACAGUUUUUAUAUUCAUUUGGUUAACUCAAGAUUGAAAUGCAUCACUAAUAUCAUAAUAAUUCUAAAAGGGCCUUUCGAAAAGAUCGGAGAGAAGGUUUUUUUUUUAUUUUUUAUAUUCGAUCUUUCUUUUUGUGUAAAAUUCUUAGCGAUAAUAUGAGUUUUGUAUUUUUUUAUAUUAUCUUUCGAAUUCCUUUUGGUUUUAAAUAUCUAUUAACAAUCAAUAAAUUUUGCUCCUUCUGGUAAUAAGACAAGAUCCCGAAUAUCAUUGUCUUUCAUGAAUUUAAUCACUUCAUUUAUAGUAUCGAUCCACUUUUGAGAAUUUAAACUUUUUAUGAUUUGACAGAAAUUGAUUGGAUCAUCUUCCAUCAAUCUAGAGUCAUCCUAAUAUUCUUGAAAAAAGACAAUGUAAUCAUCUGGUAUUACACUUGUUCUUUCUCUAGUUGAUCUUCUUAAUGAUACUGAUUUUUGAAGAGGUAGAGUUUGUUUUUCUAUAAUAGUUUAUUUUUUCAACAUUAUCUUGAUUUAUUGUGUCAUGAUCAAUAUCAAGAAUGGAAUUUUGAACAAGAUCAAUGACGCUUAUAGGAAUAUUGACAUAUUUCUCCUUAAAGACAAGGUUCCUAAUUGUAUCUUCUCCCCCAGACUCCACAUCUUCAAAGAACAGAACAUUUUUCAUUUUGAAAAUUGAUUUAUUCGUGGGAUCAUAAAACUUGUAAUUCUUGGAUCUUUCAGAAUAUUCAAUAAAAUAACAACUAAUAGUUCUUGAGUCCAAUUUCUUUUCUUUGACCUAUAAGAUCUUGCCUCAAUUGGAUAUUUUCAAAUGUGUAAAUGUUUCAAAUUAGAUUUUUUUCUAUUCAAAACUUAUAAGGGAUUUUGAUAGUUAAUUUAGUUGAAACUUUGUUAAGGAUAUAUGCUGCAAUCUUAAGUGUUUCUCUUCAGAGUAACUCUUGUAAGGUAGAAUGACAUAUCAUAUUUCUUAUCAUGUCUUUAAGUGUUCUAUUUUAUCUUUCAACUAUAUUAUUCAUAGUAGGUAAACCUGACAUAGUGUACUGUAAGAUGAUACCGCAUUUCUUUAGGUAUUUGACAAAUGAUCCUAGACAUUGUUCACCUGAACUAUCAUAUCUACCAUAGUACUCAUCACCACGAUCAGAUCUGACGGUUUUGAUUCUUUUAUUGAGUUAAUUAUCAACUUCAGUCUUAAAAAUUUUGAACACGUUUAGCAGCUACAAUUUUUCAGAAUUGAGAUAUAUGUAGUUAUAUCUUAAAAAAUCAUUUAUGGAUGUUAUAAAAUAUUAUUGAUCAUUCUAAACAGAUGUAAGAAAUGGCUUACAAAUAUUUAUAUGUAUAAGUUCUAAGACAUCUAAAGAUCUAUUGGUUUCAAAUCUCCUUUUAUUAGUUUGUUUUCCCUUUAUAUAGUUACCACAAUCAUCAAAAUCUAUAAAAUUCAAGGGGUCGAGAAUUUCAUUUGACACAAGUUUUUUCAUUCUCCGUUUAGAAAUGUGACCCAAUCUGUUGUGCCAUAAUACAGUCGAAUUUUCAUUGGUUAAUUUUCUCUUUACUCCUCUAAUAUUCAAAUGUAGAGAUUCAUUAAAUGAGAAAAUUAUAUUACUUAAAUUAGAUUAUCAUACUGCAUUAAAAAAAAAAGGAACCAAUUAAUUUUGAAUCAUGAAAUAAUUUAAACUUUUCAUUUUUAAAUGAAAAAAAAUAAUCAAAUUUGUCCAAAGUAGAUAUAGAAAUCAAAUUCCGUCGAAAAGAUGGUAUAAUAAAUGUUCCAUUAAAAUCCAAAUAAAAUUCAAUCUUUAACAAUAAUCUAAAAACACCUACUGUUUUAACUUGAAUUAUUUUGUCAUCGCUUACGUAGAUCUAUCCUUCAUUAUCAUUAAGUGUUUGACAAUUCAAACAAUCCUGUAUAAACAUACUAAUGUGAGUUGUUGCAUCAAAAUCUAACCAUUAUGCGUGUUUAGGUAGCGAAAUUAAAUUAAUCUCAAAACAAAUCAAAUUAAGAAAUAGACCUUUUUUAGCAUGCCAAGUGUGAUAGUUGGUGCAAUGCUUAUUUUUAUACCCUUCAGCUUCACAAAAAAAAUAACCAUUCUUUUUAGAAUCAGUCGAUUUCUUUUUUUUUUUUAGGUGCUGUAGCUACAGUUCUUAUCCUUCUUUCUUUUAUAUGCCUUACUUUUAUUAUUAAUAGUUGAAAUCAGAUGAACACUUUCUGUCUAAUCUUACUUCAAUCUUUUCUCUUCCUCUACAUAGUGUGAGAUGAGUUUAUUUAAAAAUCAGGUCUCCUUUUGACAGUUGUGGCUCACCUUAAAUUGAUUAAACAAUGUAGGAAGAGAUAUCAAAAUCAAAUGCACUAGUAAUUCUUCAGAGAGUACUAAUUUAAAUGCAUUUAAUUUCGAAACAAAAUGAAACAUUUCCAUGAUAUAUUUUCUGAUAUUACCAUUACCACUAUAUUUUAUUGAAAUUAGGUGUAUCAAGAGCGUACUUAUUUCAGUCGAUCUUUUCGUUCUUGACAAACAUUUUUUCAAUGUCGUAAAGGAACGCCUUGACCGUUGUUCUCGUUUCUGACAUUGUUCCUUUGAAUUUUUUUGGAACGACUUUUUUAAUAAUCAUCAAAUAUAAGCGAUUUGAAUUCUCCCAACUUUUCUUAUCUCUCUUUUCAUCAGAGGUACUCUAAUCUGUAAGAAGUGGUGGGGAAUCAUUUUUUAACUUAAGGUCGAGAUCUAUUACUCCAAAAACUAUCAAAAAAUUUUCUUUUCAAAACUUGAAAUUUGUGCCAUUCAGCAUAGAAAUAUUAUUGAUAUUGGUAGUAAUAUUUGUAAGAUCAUUCACAAUUGAAUAGAAAAUAUAAAAUAAUUAAAAUAAACUCACAUACACCAAAAAAUAAUAAAAUUUAAAUAAAGAGAAUCCCAUCUCAAGAUACUGAUAUUCCAUUAAUAUUUUAUUUUUAGACAAAAAUAUUAACUUCUAAAUGAUAUCUUGGCUCAAUAAUAAAUAUUGAUAAUAAUAACAUGUCAAAAAUAAAUUUUUCUUUGAGUCAAUUUAUCAUUCGCAUGAAAAAAUUUGAAUAAUCAUCACGUGUUUAUUAUCACAAAUUCACAUAUAAUUUUGUUAAAUAUUGACCUUCCCUUGAGUCAAUUAAUAUUCAUAAAAUUACAAGUACGCAAAUAAUUAUAUUUUACAAGGCACGAGAAUACUUGCUAUUAUCAAAUUAGGGUUCUCUCAAGCUGUGCAGCGCACGUAUUGGUUGGCUGAACGGCUGGUCGCUGCCGCCGGCAUGGCGGCACCGCUGGGUCCUGGGCUUGAAGGCUAUCCACGGCCUUCGAGCAAGACCUUUGCUGAUAUCGUGGCUGGAGUGUCCUCUCCGACACCAGAUCUGGGAUCUCUGGGCAAACACCGUGGCGAGCCUGCCCUCAUGCUUACGAAACAAGACUUGGCCUCUUUGGCUGCUCCCUACAGCAAUGUGUUGAUUGGGAGGUUUGCGUAUUCUAGGCCGCCAAUGGAGACCAUCAGGAAAUUUUUUGCGGCUGUUGGAUUGCGAGGGUCCUGCGACGUCGGACUGCUCGACUCUAAGCAUAUACUCAUUCGCCCUUCUACGGAGGAGGACUACGCUAGGAUCUUCCUCAGGAGGACUUGGUUUGUCCAAGCUUCACCCAUGGCAAUAUCCAAGUGGACAAUGGAUUUCAGAGUUAAUCAAGAUUCUUCUGUGGCGCCAGUUUGGGUUGCCUUGCCAGGAUUGCCUCUUCCGUUCUUUGAAAAGAAAUACCUGUUCAAGAUAGGAUCUCUUCUUGGCCGGCCAUUACAGAUAGACUCGGCAACCCUCGCUCUCAAAAGGCCGUCGGUUGCGCGAAUACUGGUUGAGAUUGACGUUGCUUGUCCGCCGGUUAAGAGGAUCUGGAUAGGGGAUGAGGAGGCUGGGCAAUGGCAGCAACUGGAUUACGAAGACUGGCCGGCAUAUUGUGGGUUCUGUGAGAAGCUUGGUCACAGGGAGGCUGACUGCUUCGCGAAGAAUCCAGCGCUCAGGCCAGCACCUGCAAAGGCCAAGCGGGCCAUAUAUCGCCCCAAGGCGCACACUGCUGAGGGCGGAGAAACUGCGGCAGAGGGGCAGCAGGGAAUUCUGGGGGCAGUGCAGGGUGUUGGGGUCCAACAAUUGCUACUUCCAGAUUCCAACCCUGCUGAGGCGAUUCACGGGGUGCAAGCAACAGCGGAAGUGGGGGCGGCGCAGCAGAAUGGGAUGGAUGCAACGCAGGGCGGUACUCUCUUGAUUGACCUUCCGCGGGUAGAGACACCGCCACCUCCGGGGGCAGCGCAGGCGCAGCAUGAUGCUGGGAUAGGGACGGUGACCUGUUCCACGGACCACCAGGAGCCAUUGGGGGUGACAGAGGUGCCUCCGGUGGCGCAUCUGGACGCACUUCCGGUGUCCAACUCCUUUGCCGUCCUGGGCAUGGACCUGGUUCGGCGGGAGGGCGGCUUUCUUUCUGCUGGGCAGCUUCCCUCUACUCCUCCGAGCGCCAAACCUCUUCGUCGGAGCAAAUCAUGGGACAACAGGACGGGGGAAGCCGCUCUCGCUUCUGGUUCGCUGCCACUUCAAGCGGGCCUGAGCUGCCACUUGCCUCAGGCAGCGCAGCUGGAAUUGCCAAAAGGAGCGGUGAUUGAUGCGAAGGACAUUGAGCUUCUCAACAACCUCUCUAGGAAAUCUGGACGGCCAAUCAACUACAACAGGAGGUUACAACACUACCUAUCUCAAGCUAAGUCAUCUUUAGUCUCCCAUGAUAAGUCCCAUUAACUUUUUAGUGUGGAAUAUAAGGGGGGCUGCCCGGGCAGACUCCCAACGGUAUCUUCAUAGACUACGUAGACAACAUCGUUUGCGGCUAGUAAUAUUGUUGGAGCCUAUGGCUUCCAAUGAUACUUUGAUUUUGCUUGGACGAAAGUUAAAUUAUUCCCACGCUCAGUCGUUCCUGGAGGGGAAAAUUUGGGUUUUAUCGAAUGAUGAUCUGUCUGUGGUGCCUCAUGAGUUGGGGGACCAAAUGGUACACAUGGAGAUUUCUUGGGUAGGCUACUCCCUCCAGGUGUCAGCGGUGUACGCCAAAUGCACAAGAGUGGGUCGGCGGGGCCUAUGGCAGGCAAUGGAGGACGUUCACGAGAGGUUUCCAGGCCCAUGGUUAAUGGCGGGUGACUUUAAUGUGGUCUCGAAUGCCAGCGAGAGGUCUGGGGGGCCCCACCAAACGGGCGAAAUAUGGAAGAAUUUAAUGAGGCCAUUUUCUCAUGUGGGCUUGCGGAUGUGGGCUUUGAUGGCCCCCAGUUUACUUGGACCAACGGUACGGUCUGGCAGCGUUUGGACCGGGCUAUUGCGAACUCAGCUUGGAUGGACACGUUUGACGUGACGAAGGUGUCCCAUCUAGUGCGGGGUAGAUCUGAUCAUGCCCCUCUCUUGAUCAAAUGUGGUAUGCAUAAGGCGCAUAGCUCAUCUUUCCGUUUUCUUAAUGUCUGGGCCAACCAUUCGAGUUUCAUGGAUGUGGUUCGGGACGCUUGGCAAGUACCUGUCCAAGCUGGGGGUAUGCUCGGUUUCCACCAGAGGCUGUCAAGCGUUAAACACAAACUCCGCUGCUGGAGCAGGCAGUCCUUUGGAGAUAUCUUUCAGACAGUCCAAGUGGCUGAGGAAACCUUGCGGCAUUGCCAGGAGGAGUUUGACGCGGCUCGGGAUGACAGCUCUCGGAUGCAGUUGCGGGAGGCUCAGGCUCGUUACGCUCGAGCUUUAGGCGUGGAGUGUGAGUACUGGAGGCAAAAAUCGGCAAUUAGGUGGAUCCAGCAGGGCGAUGCCAAUACCAAGUUCUUCCAUUCCAUCGUGAAGCAGCGAAGGAAUGCCAACUUUGUCUCACGGGUGAGGGAUGGUACGGGUUGCUGGCUAGAAGAGGAGGAGGACAUCAGAAACUCGGCAGUGCAGUACUUUGAAAAGUUGCUCACGUCGGAUCGGGAGGACCGGGCUACCCCAAGCCUGGAUUUCCCGCUCCCCUCAAUAACAGCUGCGGACAAUAUGAUGUUCCAGCAGCUGCCGUCGCUACAGGAGGUAAAGGAGGUAGUUUUCUCGAUGUCGAAAGAUAGUGCGCCGGGGCCGGACGGAUUCGGGGCAGGUUUCUACCAGGAGUGUUGGUCAAUUAUCCACAGGGAGCUCCUCGAAGCAGUUCAGGAAUUCUUCAAGGGGGCCCCCCAACCCAGAGGCUUCUCUAGUGCAUUGAUUGUGUUAAUCCCAAAGGUAACGGGAGCGGCCAAAUGGCAGGAGUUCAGGCCGAUUAGCUUGUGUAACCAAAGCUCCAAAAUUAUCUCCAAAGUGCUAACAAAUCGCCUCAACCUGAUACUCCCUAAUCUUAUCUCAUCUUGGCAGUCAGGUUUUGUCCCAGGUAGGAGCAUUGCUGACAAUAUUCUAGUGGCACAGGAGCUAGCACAGGAUAUUGAUAGGAAACUGACAUGUCCGAACUUGAUGCUUAAGCUAGAUAUGGAGAAGGCGUAUGACAGGGUAGAAUGGAGUUUCCUUAUAUUUAUGCUCCGCCGGUUUGGGUUUCAAGAGUGGGGGGUGGAUCUCCUAUUUCGGACGUUGUCAAAUAAUUGGUUCUCGUUGCUUAUCAAUGGCUCCUCGGCAGGAUACUUCAAAUCCUCUAGGGGGGUGCGACAAGGUGACCCACUCUCUCCAGCAUUGUUUCUUCUGGUGGCCGAAUUCUUGGGUUGGGGAAUGCAUCACCUGUUCUGUCAGGAUGAGAGCCGAUUUUAUGUCUCCCCUGGGUUGCGGGUCCCUUAUUUGGCGUUUGCAGAUGAUACCCUGGUCUUCACACGGUGCUCUGAGGGGGGGCUGACUUCUCUCAAGACAUUCUUUGAUUCGUACCAAGCGUUCUCUGGUCAGAAGAUUAAUGCCCACAAGAGCUGUUUUAUUCUGUCUACCCGGGCGUCCUCUACACAUGGGUCAAUGGUGGCUUCAACGCUACAUUUUCAGCAACAGUUCCUCCCGUUCACGUACCUGGGGGCCCCAGUCUUCAAGGGACGAACGACGUGUGUUUUGUUUGAUCCCCUUGUGGCUAAGGUGCAGGCCCGGCUAUCUCAUUGGAGCUCGCGAUUGCUCUCGUCAGGGGGUAAAUUGGUGCUUCUGCGGCAUGUUCUUACCUCGAUGCCUAUGUACCUGCUGCAAGUUAUGGAUCCUCCUCGGGCAGUUUUGCUCAGGUUGGGAAAAUUGUGUAAUGCGUUUCUUUGGGAUAAGCCCGCUGGCACAAGGGGCAUACACUGGACUUCUUGGGAAACGAUCUGCUUCCCGGUGGCUGAGGGUGGACUGGGUUUUCGCUCCUUUGCAGACAUGUGCUCGGCCUUUGCCUGUAAAUUAUGGUGGCGGCUACGCAAAAAUGAAUCACUUUGGGCGAGUUUCAUGCACGCCAAAUAUGUUCGAGGCAAGCACCCGAUCCAAGUGACGGUAGCCAGGCCUUCGCCCACAUGGAGGCGGCUGGAGGGAAUCAGAAGGGUUGCGGAGAACCACAUCAGGUGGUGCGUGGGUAGAGGGUUUGUAGAUUUGUGGUAUGAUCGUUGGCUCUUUGAAGUCCCGCUAGCCGACCUUGUUUCCAUUCCUGAUCCGCCCCACAUGCUGCUCGCAGAAUUCUUUGACGACAGGGGUUGUAAUGUAGAGAAACUGCAGCAAUGGGUACCGGCUCAGUUGGUACAUCAGAUCCAGGAUAUUCAGUUAUUCCCCGAGCAGCAGGAUCGAAUGGUUUGGGUGGGCUCACCCACGGGGGAGUUCGCAACCAAGGCUGCUUGGGAGGUUUCUCGGCUCAAACAUAAUGCCUCGAUGCUGGAUGGGUUCGUUUGGACAAGGAUUGUGCCACUGAAAAUAUCAUUCUUUGCAUGGAAGGUUUUACGUAACUUGAUCCCCUUGGAAACGGUUCUGCAACGGCGAGGAGUUCCCCUGGCCUCACGCUGCCCGUGUUGUUUAUUGGAACAAGAGUCGCUAGUCCAUCUCUUCGUCAAGGGCCCCGUAGCAAGGGAGGUUUGGCGUUCCUUUUGUCAGAGAUUUGGGAUUAUUGAUCCUCGCUUCUCAUCAGUAUCUGCGAUGGUAUUGGCAUGGCUUACCUCGACUUCAUUGGUAUCUCGGGACCAUAUCAGGACUGUCGUUCCAAUAGUCAUACUGUGGUUCCUAUGGAAGGCUAGGAACAAGGCGCUUUUUGAGGGUGAAAUCUUUGAGGCUCGUAGGGUGGUGUCGGCGGUCGACGAAUUCGUAAAGCAAUUGGGGGCGACAGCAAGACUUUCGGCAGCACAUUUCCGAGGUGACAUGGGGGACCCAUGGAUCGGACGCUGCACCCGACCAGUGAAACGGAAGACGGCGCAGGCGGUGUCUUGGAGCCGCCCUCCGUGGCAACAUGUCAAGUUGAAUACGGAUGCUAGUGUUUCUAACAAACGCGCGUAUGGGGGUGGUUUGCUUCGCGACUCGGACGGUCAAUUAAUUUUUGCCUAUUACAAGGAGUUUGGGGAGUUGGACGUUCUCCUGGCAGAAAGUACUUCAUUGCUACAUGGACUUCAGCUUUGUAGUGACCUAGCCCCGGGACCCUUGCUGGUGGAGGUGGACUCUAAGAGCCUGGUUGAUCUGCUCAAUGCGGGAGCGACGUCCAAUUGGCCCUUGUGUAACACGUUGCGUCGUAUCCGAGCUCUGCUUUCCUCACUUUCGGCAGCAGUAUCUCAUAUCUUCAGGGAGGCAAAUGCGUCGGCGGAUGCGCUCGCUGGGUUGCGGAUGCCGUCGGAACUUUUUUGUACUUCGCUCCCUCAGCUUCCGCGUGGUGUGCGAGCUAGGGUAUGCCUAGACAGCCGCGAGGUCUCUUCCCUGCGGUGGCAACCCGGUUAGGUCUUUGUGUUAGGCUUAACUGAUGUACUUCAAUUUUCAUCGCACCAUGUACUCCUCUGUUUUCAAUCAAUAAUAUAAAUUUCUAUUUAAAAAAAAACAAAAAAAAAAACAAAAAAAAAAAACAAAAAAAAAACUAAUUAUAUUUUACAAUAAAUUAAUUUUCACAAAAGAUACCACUUUGGUGGCAUAUUAUUUCAAUUAAUUUAUUCUAAAAAAUAUAUAAUCAUAUCAAUAUUCAAAUUUAAAAUUACACAAAUUACACAAAAAUUUUGAUUAGAAUCAACUCUGAUCAACUUUGGUCAAAAUGUGCUCAACCCAGUCAAACUAGUCAAAUGAAUUAAGACUUAUCGGACUAAAAGUCUAUAUCUAUAACUUGAUCCAAUUUUAUCAUUCAAAUCCAAAAUUUUUUUGAAAUUCAUAAAUACCUUAUAAGACUAUAUAUUUAUUGGACCAACCUUAUGGACUUUUUUUAAAGGUUUAAAUGUGUUGUUUAACUUUAUUAAGGUUCACACAAAUUAAAGAAACCCUAAUUUCCUUAACAUAUUAAUAAGUUGCAUACCAUGCAGGCCCUACCAAAUAUUAUGUUGAUGAAAACUUUUAAAUGAAUAAACUAACAAAACAAGCCCCAAGGCUUUCUGUUCAAAUAGGGGAAAGACGAACAAUUUUUCAAAACCAGAAAUCAAGUUAAUUUAUAUCAUGGAAAGUAUGUGAAUCCCACAUAUCAUGACUUGUGUGAACUUAUGAAGAGUUUUAUAAAAUUCAACAAUUAAGCAAGACAAGCAUACGUAAUUCUGGAACCAUGUGUACUUGAAUCAUGUGCCAACUAAUCAUAACAAACAAAGGAAAUAUGUGUACUUGAUUGUGCAUCAUGUUUAUUACCCAUGGAUUCAUAUGUAACCAAAAAUAAUGAAUUGGACAGUGCAAAUUUAUCGAAAACAUAAGCAAACAAAUUACAUUAAAAUCAAAAUUCAAGAUUGUCAACCGCCGCACAAUCAAAAUAAAAAUAAUUCUAGUCAGAAAAAAAUUUGAAAACUAUGAAUUAUUAAAAAUCAAAUUAUUUUCUAACAAUCAACCAUAUCCUAUUCUGAUACCACUUGUUAGGUGGUUAUUUAUAUUAACCUUUGGUAAAAAUUAUUACCUAUUAAAUCCAAAACUUUUAUAGUGAUUAUUAAGAAAUAAAUUAACAGUGAAAUUGCGAAAGCGUACCUGGAUUCAUGUUAACUAAUUGGUACUUGAAUCUUUAGAGAUUUUGGGAUGGUCUUUCAAGUCAACAUGUAUUUACUAUUCUCUUGAGAGAUGCCUUUAAUUUCUCUCUGGUACCUUUUCUAACAAUAGGAUAUGAGGGAAGAGUUAUUUUGUAGUACUAAAAAUACGAUAAUAAGAAUAAUGUGAUCUGAAAACCAUACUCCUAUUUAUAGAUAUUUUUCAUGUUAUCUUUUGCAUUUCUAUUUCAACCCAUAAUAGAAAUAAAAAUUACUCUUAAAUCUUUACACAUUAAAGACCCAUAUCCUAUUAGAUACAUUAAAAACUAAAUUAUAUUUGAUCACUUUUAUUGGACUUAAUCUUAUUUGAUAGUUUGCAACACAUAACUAUUCAUAUAUAAAUCCAACGUUGGGUUAAGGAUCCAACAUUACCAAGUUACUCAAAUUACCAAUUGAACUUGGAAUUUCACUUUCGAUUCGACAAUUACUUGCACCAAAUGAUUCGAGUGAGCUGGAAGAUUUCCGGUGGACUUUGGAAGGAAGCCAUUCAGUGGAUUCCCUCCAAUCCACAACUUUCUUAAAUUUCUGCAAUUUGGAAGGGAUGUGAUGAAGCUCAACUCUUUGGACCGUGAGUCCCCAGAAAAAUCAUUCUCUGCAACAACCAAGAGUUCUAGCAAUGUCAAAUUUCCGAGAGAAUGAGGAAUUUCGCCGGUAAAAUGGUUCAUAGCUAUGUCUAGUCUUCUGAGCUUCGAAGCAUUUGAGAUGGAUGUUAGUAUAACUCCAGUAAAUGUAUUCUUCCCAAGAAAGAGUUCCUCAAGAUUGGGUAAACCUAAAGUCGAUGGAAGCUCGCCAAAAAAACUGUUGUUCCCAAUGGAAAUAAUUUGUAGAGUUGAAAUGUUGAAAAGCUUCAGUGGGAUGGGACCUCUCAGUCUAUUGAUAUGAUUUCUGUUGCCCGCAACUUGGUAAGGUUACCGAUCUCUUGAGGUAUGAUACCUGAUAAAUCAAAUUGGCAACAAGAAACUGAGUUAUUUGACUUGUAAUAAUUUGGUCAAAGAAAGAGGCAAGUAAUGAGAAAUGGACAUAUGUAGGAAACACAUAUAACUAAGAAUUGGGGAAAAUCGUUCAAAAUAGCCUUACAUUUUGCCGAAUAAAUUUUGUUGUUCUUCACUUUUAAAAUAUUAAAUUUAUAUCCCUUAUAAAUUUAAGUUAACAAAAUUUAGACUUAAUAAAAGUUUCCGACCACUAGUUAAUCUAAAAUUACCAUGUGACUCACAUGUAACUAUUUUUUAUGUACAAAAAGGUUAAAUUCCACUUUUUACUGGCAAAAAUAUAUAUAUGGAUUGAUCAAAUCCUAAUUUUCUAAGGAAAAAAUGAAUAUAGAUUAAGUUAAAUCCUACUUUUUAAGCAGUACAAUGAAUAUAAAUAUGGUCCUUUGUU
rnacentral:lncRNA from 1 species